UAGAGUGACUACCCAUCAUGCCACAUUAUCUUUGAUGGAGCGGUUUAGGGAGGGACGCCCUCUUCCAGCAGUGCUACCAAGCAAUGUUAUGUUUGAUUUAUCCAAUAUUUUUCAACCUGCAAAUAAUUACUCCAAUGCUGGCAAUGUAGCCUGGAGACCUGCUUCUUGUAUUCAACCAUAAAACAAAUCACUUUUAUAUUUUGAAACAUGUCUUUCUUUGAUAGAGAAUAGUUUCUUAUUUUUCACUUUAAAAGGCUUCAACAACAGCAACUGAUGCCUGGUCUUGGUGCUCGGCACAUGGCACCGAAGACAGUUGCUCCAAUUAGCGGAAACCCAGAGUACCAGAAUUGGAGAAACAUCUUGUAGAUCAAUCUUGUAGAUCAACUGAGUACAGAGGAGGUUAACUCACUGAACUCAGUUCAAAGAAGCAACUGAAGCUGAUAAAAAGGUACUUAGAACUUUAAUGUUUCCCCAAUUUUCUCAUCUUGAGCAGCAAAGUUAUGUGUGCAUGUUACUUCCUGAUAAGUGUCAAAUCGUAACAAAUAUCCCAGAGACUUGGGGAAAGAAAUCUUGGAUGCUAGAGAGAAAAUUGAAUAUUUCCGGUUCAAAAUGCAGUUCAGCCAUCGAACUUGUAAUGUAUCUUUUGUAUUUCAUUUCUUUGUGUAUGCAUCUCGCUUUUUCUUCAUUCUUUUCUUCCUUUAGCUUGUAGCGCGACGUAUAAUUUUUCUCCUUAAUUUUGGAAUGUUCAGUCCUAUUGAAGCAAAGAGCCCUAUAAUUUUAUCGUUGUUACAAAUUCGAUGAUUGUAUUAUUAAACUGGGGCUGUGCCUUUCUUUUUUCAGCCUUAAUUUGCUGUAAUUUUUUACCCUCUCUAAUAAAAUUUGUUUCGCUGAUCUUUGUUUGGUGCAAACAAGAACACUGAGUUUUGCCGUUGUUAGUCCAAUGGGGCCAUUCAUAUUUUUUGCUCAUUGCAGUUCAGCCAUUGAACAAUCGCAUAUUUUUGUCGUUGAAUGUUCAAACUAUCGCGCUUGGUUGUGAGAUUUUUACUUUGCCCUGGCAUGGUGUGUUAAUUAAUGUCUGUUUGUGAUAUAAAGGUAAAUCAAGUUUUAAGGAUAACAAAUAGGCCAUUAUACGCUUGUCCAUAACUAGUGCUUUAUAAUGUAUAAUUAAUGUCUUAAUUCUUGGUCAGACAAGCGAGCUAUCAAAGUACAAAUUUGCCUUAAAAAGUUUUUCCUAAUCACUUUCAUUUGCUUCAGACUCAUCACUUGAUCCACUAACUUGAGGUUCAUCUCAUGAUCCACCACCUUUGGAAUCAACAUCUUGUCUUGUUUCUUCUACUUUUGGUCCCCUCGACAUGAACACGUGACCAAAUUUGAAUUUCUCAGCAUCUUCGGCAUACAAUGGGCAUAUACCACAGCUUUCCACCUUCAUAUGGGAAGCAAAAUCCUGCGGGUAGAAGACAACAGAGGCCUCUUUGGCAAGUUUGUAAACAUCAGGGGAGCAGUUUUUUCCUACCUCUUCACUUCUAAAGGCCUCAUUCCACACAAGCACGUGCUGUUGACCGUCACAGUCGUAGUUGUAGCUAUUGCAUGGGAUAAUGUACUGAGAAUUGAACAGUUCAUGGCUUUCACCCCUGAAUUUGACAAUGAAAUUAGCUCUUAACCUUAUGAAGUAAUCCUGGCACGGUGAAACAACAACAGAGAGAGCGAAACCAAAUAAACCUGUUCGAAACCAAUCUGGACAAAGCUCGAUGUCUACCGAAGAUCCCUCAUUUUGAUAGCUGAACCAAUUUGGAAUUUCUUUUCCUGGACAUGCAAUGUUAAUCUGAGGCCAGGGAUUACAAGGCAACCAAUAGUCCUCUAAUGGCGCAACAGUUGCCAUUCGCAUAAUUGUAAUCUGUGCUUCAUCCAUUAUGUUGCUCCUUGAAUUAUUAUCCAAUUUGGGCAAUUACGAAAAACUCUGAAACAAUAAUGAGGUUUAUCCCAACCUUGUGUGAGUGCUGUCCUUGAACUUGACACUAUCUUCAGAGACGCGCAGGCUUCAGCUUUAACAUUACAUAGCACUGGGAGCUCUGGUAUAGAUACAAGCCGCUCGCAGCCUUCUAAGCCGAGUAUAGACAAUCGAGAAGCCUUUUUGAUGCCUACUGGUAUUAGGUAUAUACCGCUGUAGCUGAGUUCUAGUUCUUCUAAAGAGAGAAAACUGACAGGGCUGAAAGGCAAUUUUUCAAGUCUCCGACAAAAUUUAAAGUCGAGACGUUUAAGAUUGGUUAAACUGUAGAUACUUGUUGGGACAUCCUUAAGUUGCAUGCAGCGACUAAGGUUUAAAUCUUGAAGCCUAUUUAGAUUUCCAAUAGACGAAGGAAGCAUUUCGACACCUGUGAAUUCCAAACUAAGAUACACCAAAUGUUCCAUUGGCUUGAAGAUUUCAGGGAAUUUGGAAAAUCUAGAGCACCUGGUGAGAUCAAGACUCUCAAGAUAUUUCAACUUACAGAUUGAUGAGGAUAGCUCUGUAACUGCUGUUCCCCUUAAACUUAAGGACUUCAACUGUUCCAUUGGCUCCCAAAUCUCUGGGAGGUUUUCAACGUUAUAGCACGAAUAGAGAUCGAGUUUCUCGAGAUUUUUCAACUUACACCAGCUACUUGGAAGUUUCUUAAGGUCUUUGCAUUGCCUUAAAUUCAAGUAAGAAAUAUUUUCGUUAGACCAAACUGAUUCAGGCAACUCCUUUAUACCACUGCAUUCUAAAUUCAAGUAUUGAAUAUUUCCUGGCAUUUCUGGAAGAUACUUGAGACUGCUGCAGUCUUUAAGAUCAAGACGAGUAAGCUUGUCAAGAUGUUGAAAAUAUGAAGGAAUUUCAACCAAACUUCGACAGUUCCCAAGAUUUAUGUCCACAAUUUUUGGACUCCCAGAGAGAUUUGGAACUUCAGUUAGAUUUGAACAGCCCCACAGAUCAAUCACUUGUAAGUUGACAAGUAUCUGCAACAAAUGAAAUAGAAAUAUAAAGAAUUAAUAUAAUUUCUACACUUGAUUAUAUAAAAGAAAUAAAAUAGGCAUAUAAUAUAAUAUACCUGCUCUUCUUUCCAAAGCUCCUUCUCAACUGUGCUAUAUGGCAUAUGAAGCUCAACUAGAUUUUCUGGAGAAAAAGUUGAUGGCAAAGAAUCCAGUGGAUAUCCCGACCACUCAAGAUAACAAAGAGAAUCGGGAAGGUCUAAAGAAGUGGUCAAUUUGUAGCAACCAUUCACAAUUAGCAUUAUUAGGUUAGACAUCUUUUUGAAGUCUGCACGUUUCAACGGUCGCUCUUGAAGAUUAUUCCAAUCAACCUCUAUAGCUUCAACAUUUGGAGUUUCCUGAGAAUAAGAAGAAAGUUUAAAUGUGAAUAUAAACAUAGUAAAAUGAAACGCACAUUUGGAACAAAGAGUAUUUGCGAUGGUAAUCAUGUACAAGUGUCUUAGUCUAGUCAAAUAUCCAACAUAAUUGUAUCCUCCUCUACUUGUCUAAAUAAACAAACAUUUGUUCAUAUUGCAAACACUUCCUAACACAAUAAAUAUUCAAUCAAAUUCAUCUUUUAACAAUCUCACUUCUUUAUUAUAAAUUAGUUUUACUUUGUUGUGUUAUCAUCUCAAGUUUGUAAUUUUUAUUUUCUAAAAAAAAAAAAAAACAAAAGAAAAAAAUUGAAUGCAUUUGGCUCUUACCGUGUUACUCCUCAAUACACGAUAGACAUCCUCAUCAUUGAACAACCUACUCCGUUUACCGGGAUCUUUAAUACCUUGUUCUUGAACAAUUUUCCUUCCCAUUUCUUGUAGCAAAUCGUGCAUCUCUAUGGUUUCCAUUCUCCCUUUUGAAUCAAUUGAUAUGAGAGACAUCUCAAUGAGAAUUCUAAUUCCAGAUGGCGCAAAGAAUCCACGAACAUCUAACAUUUGUUUCACCUUAACCACAGACUUCCCUUUAUGAAAACAUGCUAUAUCCAGCAAUAUCUCCUUCUCAUUUUCUCCCAAUCUAUCGUAACUUAUUCUCAACACUUUCUGAAUAUCUACAUUGGGAAAUCGUUUCAAUUUGUUGAAUUCAUCCUCCCAAUCUUCUUUGCUCUUGCAAUUGAAGAACAAGGACCCCAAAACUGUAAGAGCUAAAGGAACGCCUCUGGCAUAAUGCACAACCUUUUCUGCCGACUCCUUAUAAUCUGUUCUACGAGUACUGUUAUUCUUGAAAGCACGUGAACAGAAGAGCUGAAGAGCGUCAUCCGGUUGUAAUCCGUCAACCUUGUAGAUAUUAUCCUCUUGAACAGUUUGCCCAAGUUUGCCCCUAUCUCUAGUUGUGAUAAUGAUUCUACUUCCGGUGCCAAACCGGAGAGGACUGCCAGCUAAACGUUCCAAUUGCAUAGAAUCACUCACAUCAUCAAGAACAAUGAGGACCUUUGUACGCCUGAGCCUUUCUUGAAAAGUUGAUUCUACGGGCAAAGAAACUUCUUCCUUUAAUAUCUCCUUAAAAAGUGUUUUUACCAAGUGAUCUAGUCCAUCUGGUUUUUCUGAGUUCUCCCUAACAUUCUUAAGAAAACAAGAAGCAUCGAAUUUAGAAGAGAGUUUGCGAAACAGAGUUUCAGCAAGGGUGGUCUUGCCAACACCACCCAUUCCCCAAAUACCUACAGUGAUGCAAGCGUCUUGUGAAUGAAUGCCCAAUAGCUUUUCAAUUUGCUUGAUGCGGCUUUCAAUUCCAAACAGGCCCUCUAAAUUACAUGAUGAUUCACCAAUCAAUUUGGUGCAAAUACAAUGGACAACAUUCUUUACUAGAUCUGCCUCCGUCCUGGCAUAUAUAUGUAUGAUUAUGUAGAAAAAAGCAAUAGUUAGUCCUAAAUAUGCUUGAACAAAUCUUAGCACAAAUCAAACUGUCACAAGUUUACAGAAAAUUUAUAACUUUAGACAAGUUAAAGGAUGAGUUAGUUACCCGGAUUUGUUUGAAUGAUCAAACCCAGAUAGAUUGGCUGCAGUCGUCAAAGCAUCCCUCCACUUGUGCACCUUGUCGAUACUGUUAGCGAAUCGUUUUUCUAGUUGAGCAAAUGCAUCUGCAUAACUCCCGUGUUGUUUUCGUACAUCAGAUGGAUCGAUGUCGUAGAAUACGGGUAUAACCAUCCGGCCUUCUCUGUUGUUGCAUUUUAGUAUAUGCACAAGCUCAUCCAAACACCAUGUGGAAGAAGCAUAGUUUUGUGAGAAAAUGAUCACCGAAAUGGUGGAUUUCUCAAUUGCUUCUAGAAGGGCAGGUCCGAUUUCUUCUCCUCUCUGAAGUCUAUUAUCGAUGUAGGUUUCAAAUUUCUUCUGAAGUAAGGCAGCAUGAAGAUGGCUGGUAAUACCAAGGCGGGUGUCCCCACCUCUGAAACUGAUAAACACAUCAUACUUUUCUCGACGUGGGGGGUUAUCAGCGUCGUCAUCAUCCUUAACAGCAGUAGAAUCAGCAGCAGAAUCAGCUACAUCAGAAUCAGCUGCAGGAGACGAAGAAGAAAAUGAUCUGCAGCACAUAUAGAACAGAGUCCCGAUGGCGAUGACGAUGAUGUUGAAAGCUUGAAUGAAGGCAAUCAACUCCAUCUCUCUAUUAGGUAGGUGCACAAAGUUACAAACGCUUCAGGAGGACAAAAAUUGAAAAUAUGGAGAGACAAGGAUUAGUCACUUUCACAUACUUAAAAAAUAUUUGAUAAUUGAUAAGGCUAAACUAACCAACGCUUUCACAAAGUUACAAACGCUUCAUGGAGGGCAAAAAAUAUUUGUCGAAAUGGUUUGUAUGGUUUUUAUACAAACAAUAUUGGUGGAGGGGAAUUAGACCUCAGACUCUGUCCUCAGAUGUAAUUCAUGUUCAUGGAAGAAACAUAGCGGAUGCAAUUAACUGAACUGAUGUGUCAUACAAAAACAAUUUGAAUAAUACUGAAGUACUCACUAGUGAGUAUUUUAUGUACUCACCCAAUUGACACGUGUUUUUUUUUUUUUUUAAUAGCCCAAGAAAAAUUAUUGACAUAUACAUUAUAUUAUACAAGAAUAAAACGUGUUAAUUUAUCAUUGGACAAAAUUAAGAAGUGACUACACAAAUAUUGUCCUAACAAUUAUACUUUGCUUUCACAGUUUCCUAAAUAUGUUACAAAAUGCAUGUAUAAUGACUACAUGUCCAUUUGGAAGAAGAGGCGGUAGCAAUAUAUAUUACCUUGAAUUGGCUUUUGGCUACCUGCACAAAGUUUCAAAGGCUCGAAAAUCAACGAGUGAGAUAUGAAAGAUGGUGGAAAAUGGGGCACAUGAUACGCACAUAUUUUAUUAAAAAAAUCCUAUAAUUUAAAGAAAGAUAUUCAUAUAUUUGCAGUCUUAAUAUGAACAAUGUCAUCACAGCAUGUAAAGGAAGACAAUUGAUCAAGAUGCGAACAAAACAAAGUGACAUCCGGUGACAGGUCACCAGCGAAGAAAUUAACAGCAGACAUAACAAAAAUUAAUUAGCAAAUGAAAUGCCAGCAUAACAUAACAACUAAACUUAUUAAUUAAAAAGAAAUGACAAAAAAUAUAGAUAGAGCCUUAAACAGUAUCAAUAAACAUUAAACACUGACUAACCUCAGAAAGACAAUGGCUUGGUUACCAAUUUGACAAUGGCUUGUUUGUUUUCUCCACCUUCAAAAUAAGAAAACUUCACCUUCAGAAUAAUAUAUCCAAAACAAUUACUUUUUUGUAUCAUCAGCAGGAGCGGCAGCGGAUGACGACGACGAAGAAGAAGAAAAAGGCAUAUCCAUAACCUCUAGUUUUCAGAUCCAGGAGUAGUAGUUGCAGAGAGAUUAAUUGUGUAUAGCGAGAAAGACAGACUGGUUCAAAAUUAAGGAGGAUACAAUAAAGCGAGAGAGAGAGUAAUUCAGAAUUAAGGAGGAUCUAAUUAAACAGAAAAGAGCCGGAGAGGGAGACUAGUUCAGAUUUUUCUUGAAUUGGCUUUUAACUAGAUGCACAGAGUUCCAAAGGCUCUUCUGGAAAAGCCAUGAGCAAGAGAUGACCAGUUACUAAAGCAUACAAAGAGGCACAUGGGAUGGGGCCCUCCCUUUACGCGCUUUGCGCACGCGGCUUUGAAUUUUCCUUGAUUAGUAUGUCACCAAUUCCUUUCAAGAAAUUUCCAAACAAUUUUCAAGGAGUUUCAAUUGUGGACAUUUCUAUAAUUUCCAAAAGAAAAUAUGUGAAUUCCACACUACAAAAUCAUAGAGGGCUGAGAAUAUAGUUGUUCACUAAUGAAAAAUCUUUAGAGUCACAGACUCAUUUUAUUUGAUUUCACCAUAAGAUAUUACACAAUCGUUACAACUAUCAAUCUCUCUACCAUAUUAUAGUCAAAUCAAACUAACUAAAUCUUAAUAGUUAAAAAAAACACUAAUGAAAAAUACUUCAAAACUUUGAAUUUUAACCAAAUUACCUCACACGCAGCAUAUCUGUCUAUAAUUAUUCUGCAGUUGUUUUAUACAUGCACGACCUCGUUUCUUGGAAGAUUGUGUAUUUAUUCAUAUUGGUUUAGUCACUGGAAUUUUUUAUAUUUUUUUGGACAAAUAGUCACUGGAAUUUAAUUUGUCUGCUAACCGUGUAGCGUUUGGGUAAAGCCUUGUCAAGGAUGCAGACACAUGCCUCUGGAAAAGGAAACAACUUAGCUGCUGAUGGCCUAUCACACGCAGACACAUGUCUGAAUUUUGAUUAAAAAAAUUAAAUUUGAACACGUGUUCGCGCGUGAUUAGUUAUCAGUAGCAGCUGCUGAUCUUUCAGCAGCAAAGUCUUGUUCUCUAAAAAAUACAUGGAAAAUAGUAUUUUCCUAGAAGAAUAGUAUUUAAUGGAAAAGGUAUUGUAUAGAUGGGAGAUAUUAAUGCACCGGACCGUUGGAUUGUCUAGCGGUUGGUAAUUGAGGAGGAAGAUAUCUUGAAGCCACAAAAGAAAAUGACAAACGCAGUUAGACCAUCUCCAAUCAAAGAGUUCAGAGGGCCAGAGGGUCGAAAAUAGCCCGAAAAUCAUCUCCAACCGAGGGCUAGGCCAAAUGGCUCGUGGGCCCCACUGGAUAAAAAAUGGCCAAAGGGCCAACCGGCUGACCCAAAUGAGUCAACCAGCUAGCCCCGGGCCGGGCCAAAAUUUUGAGCAUUCCCAUCGGAUAUAACCGACAACAUUGUAUUUAUUCCUGUCGGUUAUAUCCGGCAUGAAUGGUAGGCCAAAUUUCAACUACGUCAGCUAGCCGUUAUUUUUGAAAAAAAGCUAGCCGUUAUUUUUGAAAAAAAAAAUUCAGUUUUUUUUUUUUUUUUUACAAAAUUUUUAAAUCUAUUUUUUCCCUAUAACUUCCUAAGUCAUUAUACAACAUUAAAUUAAAUUAAGUAACAUGAAAUAACAUUAAACAAUAUGAAAUAAACAUUAAAUAACAUUAACCAACAUAAAGAUUUGGGAGCUUUAAUGAAAAGAGCUCGGGUCAACAAAUAUUUAACCAAAAACCAUCCCAAAAUGUUAUUUAACCAAAAAGGCUCAAAGUUUAAUAAAAAAUCAUCCAAAACUAUUGUUCACGGGCCAAACUUACAAGUCCAACCCGCUACAAAUCUACACUUCCGUAAAUACCCUAAAUGAUUCGAUGCAAGAGGAAACUGCAGUUCUUCGAGACCACGAACCGCGAAGAGGUUGAAGAUAUGUUCAGAUCGAGCUUUAUGAUCAACUCUAGUGCCAAAAGGAGCUGCCCAUGUACAUAAAUCAAAGCUGCUUCAUGGAUUGGUGCCAAUUCAAUUCAACGGACUACUACUAUUACACCUUUUUUCUUAUUUAUUUUUCACGAUUUUUGGUUUCUGGGUUUUAUAUAUGAGGAUAUGUACGGUCCAAAACGUGGCAAUCACGUCCGUAUAAUUUGUAUUACAAGUUCAUGGAUAGAUUCAAGCCUGGUGGGCAAGAUUGAAUUUCCAGGUUAUAUAUAUGAGGGGUACUUGGAUGAGUUUUUCAGACAGUUGGAUGUAGAUUUAUAUUUGUAUUCCUUCAUCAUCUGUGAGUGUGAAUUACUUCAAUCAUAUGAAUUAUCUUUCCUCCACAACUAGCUAGCUAAUUGGUAUUCUUUGAAUUCUUAUUAUUUAUUCUCUUUGGAUGUUGAACAUAUCUUCAACCUCUUUGCGGUUCGUGGUCUCGAAGAACUGCAGUUUGUUGGAGAAUGGUCCACACCAAAUUUGUAAAUGUAAUCAUUAAAACAUAUCGCUUAACUCAAAAUUACAAAAUUCACAAACCAAUAAAAAAAAAUAUUAACAAAUAGAAUGUUAAGUUACAUAUGUUGCUCAAGCUAAGAACGUAAUCUAUAAACUCGUUUCUCACAAACAGCGUCAAACUGUUCCUACUUCAGAAAAGUACUCCGCACCUAAAGUUCAUCAAGAAUUUGCUAUUUUUCAAGGGUAGAGUGCAGUGGAAAACAAUCAAACAUCACUCAUCAUUCAUCAAUUACCAUAAUUCAAAGUACUUGAGAUUAGCAGGCAAAGAAAUUAACUGAAAAAGGAAACUUUGCAUGGAAGGACCUGCUCGAAAAUCAAGUUUCAUGUCUCAGAAUAGAAAGUUUCACUGAGCUUUGACAGCAACGAAGGCAGCCAUGCCCAGUUCCAACAAAUCGACAAAAAUGGCAGAAUUCAUAAGAACCACCAGUCCUGAUGAAUUACAUAAUCUGUUCCUCUGCGAUCGUCUCUACCGUACGGUAUCAGAUAUAGUGUAAAAACUAAAAAGGUUUGUACUUGUGGUAGGUUUUUUUUUUCUAUAUAUGGGGCUGGUGCAUUGCUGCAAAGAUAGGAAAAGAGAUAGAGAGGAAGAUAAAGCUCUUGUCCUUGUUGGAAUUUAGAUUAUUAUUAGUUAUCUUGCGGGCCAAGGAUUAGUUACUUGCCCAUUAAGUUUUUGUUUUAGUCUAGGGUUUGCUUUAGUCUUUCUCUAUAUAAAGACCUCUUUGUAUUUGAUAUUUUUAAUCAAGUUAGUCACAAUGUAGCCUCUUAAGGUGUAUUUGUUACACCUCCUUAGAAGAGACUAGCAGGGAUUGGCUUAACUAGGACUAUAGUCCCGCGUUUGGCAUGGUCUUGGAUUAGAGUUAAUGGGACUCGCCUCGACUACGAGGCGCCCCGCACUUCACUAAACCUCAAUAUCUAGUCCCACCGUUUCACUUGGUAUUAAGCAAGACUAACAAAGAAACGAACCGACGACCUCAGCCCACCCUUUCUCUGCAUGCGUUUCUCUCUCUCUCAUCACAAAUCCAUGUGAUGCAGCCAUUCCUCUGCAGCCCACAAAAUUGAUUCCCACCACUCUUGCGGUGCAACCUUUCCUCCGCCGGUGGGAAACGGCGGUUACAAUGCCAUUUUUUUUUUCUGGGAAGCGUUGUUGAUGGUGUUGGGUGUGUGGCAGCUUACAAAACUGGGUAUUUCUGGGUCUCUCUCUUUCGGGUCUGGUUAUUUCUGGGUCGAUUGGGUCUUCGAAAAUCUAUUGUCGCAGACUAGUGAGUUGCUGCGGUAGGGAAGCAAUUGAAUCGCUUUAAUAGAUAAACAAUUGAAUUGGGAUAGAACAUCUGGGUAUUUCUUUAUUGUUGGUGUUGGUGAGUUGUUGCGAUAGGAAAUUAAAAAAAAUUGCUGGCAAUUGAAUUGGUAGACGAAGCAUCUGGGUCCUUCUUGUAUAGAGAAUAGAGAAGCAAUUUAAUUAGGUUUUUUUAAUUUAAAAUAACUACAAAAUAACAUUUUAUAAUAUAAAAUUUAAUAUUUUUUCAUGUCUAGCUUGUUAGUCCGGCGUCAUACCAAACACUUCACUAUUUUUAGUCCUACUUAGUCUAAGCCAAGCCAGUUCAGCUUAGUUCCUGAAGUUAGUCCAGUGCAACAAACGCUCCCUUAGGGUUUUGUAGCCAUUUCGGCAUUCUCAUUAGUUUAAUAAUAUUCUUUUUAUUUUGUAAUCUUGUUCGUUGAUAUUCAAACUUGGUAUCAGAGCCUUUAGGAUUUAAUUUGCUUCUGUUCAGUAUCAAUUUGUCCGUCUCUGCCGUGGAUCAUUGCCGCUGUUUCUUACCCGCAAUCUGCACAAGACCACCACGAAUCUGCAUCAGUCACUGCAUCAUGCCAGAUCCAGAUUGGCCACCAACCUGCACCCAGUUCCAUCUCCAUGGAUUCCAUCGCUGCUGCAUCGUCGCCGCACCACCAAGUCUCGCCUGCUUGAAACACCGCGCCACCAUCUACUCAACCUACUGCUGCUGCGUCCGGACCCGCACCACCCCGCCGACCAAACCCACCUGAUCAGUUCCGUCCAGAACCUGCACUGCGCACCCUCUGCACCAUCCCCGCGGUCCGUAUUCGUCCCUAACGAAGCCCAGAUCCAAGAACCACUCGGAUCAAGUUCGCCUGCAUCUGUUUCUAUUUCGCACCACACACCCGCUGCCUUAGAACCACUCUUUUGUGCUGUUUGUUCGCACCGCCGCGACACCAAUGCGCCACAGACCUCCAGUUUGAUUUUGCAUUGUCUGCCCAGAAAGAAAGGUUGUUUGUUGCUCGCAUGCUUGUUUGUUCGUUCGUUUGUUUGCUCGCUUGUUCGCCUUGUCUUGUCUUGUCCGCCUAACGGAACUUGCAUCUGCAUCUACUUGUUGGCAAACUCAUGUAUGUGUUCCGCCAUGAGUUUGAUGGGGGUGUUGGAAUUUAGAUUAUUAUUAGUUAUCUUGCGGGCCAAGUAUUAGUUACUUGCCCAUUAAGUUUUUUGUUUUAGUCUAGGGUUUGCUUUAAUCUUUCUCUAUAUAAAGACCUCUUUGUAUUUGAUAUUUUUAAUCAAGUUCGUCACAAUGUAGCCUCUUAGGGUUUUGUAGCCGUUUCAGCAUUCUCAUUACUUUAAUAAUAUUUCUUUUAUUUUGUAAUCUUGUUCGUUGCGCACUCUGAUAUUUAACUAUUCUGAGGUUAUUGCUCAAUAAAUAUGACCCCCAAAUUCCCAAACCGUAUCAAACAUGUAUAUGGUGAGAUCUUGGAAAGCUGCUUUUCAUCACAACUUUUGUUUUUUACCAUGUAACACUCACACCAUCACGUAAUAUUGUUGUUUCACUCAUAUUUUUUAAUCAUUAAUACUCACACCGCUAUUUAGUAUUACCAAUUCAGUUCUGUCAUAAAACAUGUAUUUUUUAUGGGAAACCAUUUUUCUCGUUUAUGCACCUUUGUUUGUUUCUAAUCUUUAAAAUUUAUGAUCCUUUAUUCUUCUUUUUCAAUAUAAAAAAUAAACAUGAUUGUGUAUGAGAAGAACAAAGACGUUCAGAAAUCAUUUCCUUGUUUAUUAAUAAUAUAAUCCUUCCAUAAAAUAUCAGUUAUAUCGUAAGAUGUGGGCUAACAAUACUUUGUCACAACAUGAACAGUUUGGAUAUGUGUACGCUUUGUAGAGACCAUAGGUUUUUUCCCAUUUAUCCAAUCAUUUUUCUACAUGUAAGUUGAUUUGUCACAUUUGAUUUGCCUUCCUUGUGGGAUAAAAGACUAUAAAUGCGCGGAGACCUCAAUGAUAAAUGCAGAUGGGAACAGGCUAGAUGAGAGGUGAAGAAAUAUGGGGCCAGAAAAGACCAAUAUUGAUGUAUUAUAUAUAGUCGAGAAUAUGAUAGUGUUAUUCACACAUAUUUUUUUACCCUUUACAUACUGUAUGUUAAUUUAUAUCUUUUGAUCUUUUUCAAUUAUUUGUUUUGACAGUCAAAAACUGAAAAAUGCAUGUAAAAGAUAAAAAAAGUGUGUAGAUAAUACCACUCCGAAAAUAUAAAGAUUUCGCCAUCAUUUUUAUAAAUUUGUUUGUAGUCUUGCUUGCUCAUGUUCAAAAUGUGUGGCAUACGCCAACUAGCCAAGGACCACAGUAUAAAAAAGGGGCUUGUAAGCUUCCACGCACCCUCAAAUACACGUAUUCGAGUCCACACUGUGAAUCGGAUUAGGAGAAAAAGUAAAUCAUUUUAGCACUGACGUUUUCUCUUUCUGCACUUAUUUCGUUGUUUUGUGUCUUAAUUUCUUUUUUGAAUUUAUUAAAUCUAACUACUAGAAAAGAAAAUGUGUGUAGGGAAAAAGAAAGCGAGUAUAUUGUUUUCCAUAAGAGAAUAACCUUUUUGUACGCGCACAUCUCAACUUUUCACAUGACUUAUAUCUCAUAUUAAGAGUGAGAUACAACAUGGGGAUAUAAAACCGUUUUAGGAAGAAAAAAAAUGGAUAUAAUGGGAUAUCUCUCUUUUCUUUCUGUAUAAUAACGUGAGCGGAUCACAUGAUGAGCAUGGCCGGCCUUGAGAUUUCAAGGACUCUGUGCAAAAGUAAAUUGGAGGUCCUAAAAAGUACUAAGAAUUUAAUUUUUUAUAUUUUUUUGUUCAAAAAAUUAACUUUAGUUUUAAAUUCUAAUAGCACAAACAAAUUUAACAAAUCAACAAGUGGAUAGGUGGCAUAUUGUUUUUCCUUAACUAUUUAGAGGGUCAGGGUUCGAAUUUUCAUGUUAUUGUGUGAAAAUUUUAUAUUAUUUUGUGGAAGCUGAUGCAUUUAAUAAAAAUAAACUGAAAAAAUGAUGAACACAAGUUUCGAACCCAUCCCCUAGGCCAAUGUAAAGAAGCAAUAAUACCACUUGUGCUAAGACUCAAGUUUUUUAGUUUCUACACAUAAUACUAUAUAUACGUAUAUGUAUGCAAAAUUGAAAAAUCAUGGACCCUUCCAAUUUGGGGGCCCUGUGCAGUGGCACUACUUGCACCCCCUCAAGGUCGGCUCUGAUGAUGAGAAAUAUAAAGAUAAUAGUAUGGUCGAUUGCAUGAAAGAAUAUCUCUCAUUUCAUUUAUUUUUCUGUCAUAUCAAUCCUUACCCACAAACUCGGCUCAAUGUGACUUGGAACUAAUAGUCAUUGCGGCUAUAUUAAUUAGUUUGAUUACAAAUUUCCAUCCAAAUUGGUGUUGUCUAGACUUAUUGUUUGUCAAGGGAUUGACUAAUGACUAGGGAUAUAUAGCUUAGGAAUUAAUACAUCGAAUUCACAUCCAAUCAAGUGUCAAAGAAAUUACAAAAAUAAAGUUUCUUAUUAAGUUGGUUAGAUCAGUGUGUUUUUUUCUCUACAUUUACAAUUUAGAUUAAUUUAGUGUACUCUUUCGUGUCCGUCCUAAAAAUUAAUGCAUGAUUACUUUUUAGAGUGAACUUCUUAUGUUCCCCAAGUUUUAUUAAAUUAAAAAAUUUAUAAAUUAACAACGAAAUUCAAAUGAUUGUAUAUACCAAAUAAAAAUUAGAUUCUGAUAUGAGUUCAUGUUUGACAUUGUUGAUAUCUCGUUUGUGUGAAAUCUAUAAGUCUAGCAACUCAUGUUGUGGCCAUUAAUGGUGAAUGCAUGAUUUAGAAGAAGGUUUCGUUUGAUUUAUCGAGAUAAUUUUAAUGUGAUCACAACUAUUUUUGCAUUGCAUUACAAAUUUAAUCAUGCUAUAAAAUACGUGUUUGUUUAUAAAAAUGUAAAAUUACUAUCUAUAUAUUAUAAUAAAUAAAUUAAUAACAUACGGAAAAUUAUCAUCGAGCCGACCACGUUUGAUGUUUUUUUAAUCCAACUUUCCACAAGUUUUCCAUCAAAUCUGCUUCGUCGCGAAUAGUGUAGCGUGCCUGGAAUGGAAGGUCCAUGUCACGUGGGGCAGCGACGAGACACGUGGCAGCAUUUGCAGCCGUAUGAGCACCCAAGGAUCACGUGGAGUCGUGGACACGUGUCGUAAUGUCGGUCGGGAGAGCUACCAUGGGUUUGGGGGUGGGAGGGUCCAUUCCAAUUCCUGCAACAAAGAAUCUCAAGGAAAUAUUUCCCCUCCCUCUCGCUCUCAGUAGUAAUUGAGUUUACAUGUAAACGACCAUUACGAAUGAAAAAUCGGAAGGAAAAAUAAAGGUUUUCGUAGUGUGUUUUGGUCAUAAAAACAUAUUUGAAGAAUCGCUUUCACGUGCUUAUCCAUAUGCACACUUUAUAACUGAAGUGUUUUUUCACCAUGGUCGUCUCAAGUAUACUCUAAAUGAUUCAUUUAAACCAAGUUUUCAGCAAGAAAGAAAACUGGAACAAAUCCAAUUUUGCAAUAUUUGCCUCUUAUUAGUUAAUUGCGAGUUCAUGAUUAGUCAAUAUGUAGAGAGAGACUGAUUUCUCAUGUCAAACAUUCAAGCAUGUUAUGUUGUGGAAUCUUAAUGCAUUCAAUCAUGCUCAGAAUUGUGGUGUAAGAACAUAUACAUUUAAAGGGGUCAAACGAAUAGGCCACCGUCAACUCGUUAAAUUAAGGCAUCACCAGCCCAAUCCGUUUUAAAGCAGCCCUAUCUUAUAACAAGCACUAGGUCGAGAUUAUGCCCAACAGGUCAACUCGACUUGUUUACUAAGUGGGCCAACUCAAGUACGACUCAAACACGCAUACUCCAAUUUGAAACCGAGAUGUCCAUUUGACACUUUGUUAAAGCUCAAAAAGUACAAUAAUUAGCCCUUGGUAGGCUUGGAAUUGAAACUAAAAUGAAAUGGACUCAUAAUUUAAGUGGUUCACCCCAAAACAAGACUACAUCCGCUGUGUUGCUCAGAUUAUAUUGAUUUCAAAGUUUACAAAUAGCGUUCGGCUAAAUACUAGAAUUUUAUCUCCCUUAAGUUGUCUGACCCCCUUACAAGAGGUUCCGACCCCUUUAUAUAGGCCAUCCAUGAACUCAAAAAGUCUUGGGCUCACCUAGUCUUAUUUUUCUAACAUUUAAUGUGACACCUACAUCAACUAGCGUGCUGACAACCUUUUUAACCAUCAGUCGAUAUUCAGCGGUGAAAAGACACUUGCUCAUUUAGAAUUGCACGCCCUUCAAGAUCAAUGUGUGUCGAGCAACCUACUCGGUCUUGAUUAGUCAACCAUGUCACUCCAAGCAGCAACUCAACCGCUUUUACGUCUCGUCGUAGACUUCUGACAUGAGCCCUGAGUGGUGUUUGAGUAGGUCUGCUCCUAAAAAUUUGUACCAUAAAGUUGUUGGUCUUCCCACGUGUCUUGGGGGUCGAAAAGUACUUUAUGUUGGUCAGUCGGACUACUCUGGUUAGUGGUCCCCCCUCUUUAAUUUUGUUGAGCCUUGGGCUUCUUAUUCUUCUUUGGGCUUUAACUUUUAUUGGGCCUUUUGUGGCCUUUUUCUAGCUUGCACUAUUUUGAGGGUUGAAAAGCACCCUGCAUUAACAAAUCUCUGUACACACCAGACAAAGUGGUAUUCCUUAGUAUCGCUUGUAUCGCACGGAGGUUUUGAGUUUAAAUCCCUCUUUUUUUUUAGUAUCGCUUGUAUUGCAAAAAAUAAAAAUAAAAAAAAAUAAAAAUAACAGGAAGCAUUUUUUGCCAAAACAUUCUACGUAGUUAUAGUGUGAAUCCAAACCGUUGAUUAGGUGGUACAUUUUAUAGUUAAGUUCUUAAUUACUUUAGUUCAGCCUUUGCCAAUAUGGCAAAAGAAUCACAAAGCAUAAAUUAACUAGAAUGCAGGGAGAUGGCCUUGCUCCACCAAAGAGGCAAUGCAAUCAUCAAACAUCUCUUGGAUACUCUUAAACUUGAACCCUAGACUCUCCCCAGCUUUGAGGUGUUCAACUCAUAAUAACGUGGCCUCCCUAGUUGGUCAAACCUAAAAAUUUUCACGUAAAAUUCGAUUAAAAGUAAUUGAUAUAACUGAUGCGCAUAGCGUGUGACGAUCUUUUUUUUUUUUUUUUUUUUUUUUUUUUUGGGAAUUUGGAGCAUAAAAAAUGGAUCGGCCCACAGUAUGAACCGAUAAAUUAUGCUUAAUUAAUUGUAGCUGGUAAAAAUAUCAAACCUUGUGGGGAUAGGCAAGGAAGGAUAUCUUGUAGAUAAUAAGGAACCCAACUCGGUGUUGUCCAUAACUGUUGAGCUACAAAUAUAUCUGCCAUGAGCACUUUCAUGCUCAUAAACUAAGAUGUGACAGAGUGCAACAUUAUCAAUGUGAACAUAUCCCAUCCUUCCAUACCACUUAAAUAUCUCUGUUUCCCCUGCUUGAUUGUUCAAACAAAUAACCGUGUAAUGUGCUUAUAAUCGAAGUUAAGUAAACGAAGAACUAGCGCGAAAAAUCACGAAGAUAAAUCUGUAGUAGUAGUAGUACCUUUAAGCAGGCCAAGAACAUCUGAUGCAGUAGAACACAACUCUGGUGGCAAACAAGGCCCGAUCACGAAGGAGGGUAGGACAGUAACCAUAUCAAUCCCAUUUUCUUUGCAGAAAUCCCAUCCUGCUUUCUCAGCUAAAAUUUUCUACUUAGGGUACCAAAUCUAGUGAAAUAGGUGCAGAUGCAUAAUUUGUCUGUUAAAUGGUUUGGACGGAUUAUAUAUAAUGCACAUGGAAAAGAAAACAUUGAGCUUAAGAAAUGUAAUAGCACAGAUCAAUAAAAUUCGGCAUUACUUUGCUUUGCAGCUAGGUAUUAGUAUAUAUGUCACGCCCCGAUCCCGACAUACGUCCAGGAUCGACACGUGACGUCACCUAAAACCCGUAUCUCAACAUACCCCGCCUCUGAGAUAUGGCAAAUCACAACUCGAGAAUCAAUUCUCAUAGUAAAUUUUUCUUUUCGUAUACUUUAUGGCUGCAUCUAACCUCCUCGUUAGACUGCCUACGUACCCUCAUUAGGGAUCAAGCCAUUCGUAGUUCACCAUUCAUUACACUUCGACAUUUAUCAUACGACGUUCAAUCAAAAAGCAUAGCAUUCCUCAAUCAAUUAUUAGAACUUAACAAGCAUGAAUUACUAGGUUCAUGGCUACAUAACAAACCACAUGACAUUCAAGGUUUCCAUUCCAUCCAUCAUAUAAAUCACUAUGGUUUCAACAUGAUCCUUCCAUACACAGCAAGUAACAUAUCCAAUAACCAACAAAGCACAUAUCAUUCGUAAGCCACAUGGAUCAACUAAAAUAAUAAUAUUAACAAUCAUAUCCAACGUCAUUUCACAAUCCCGUCAAUUAAUCUAUUCAUGAAUCAAGGAAGCAUGAUCUUAGCAUUUAAUUAUGUUAAUCAAUGCAUGUAGUAACAUAUCAUUUCACAAUUUAACCCAGGGAACUCUAUAUAAUACCCUUAUUGGAUUAUGAGCAAUAACAUGGUAAAUCUAUUUUAUAUUCACAAGGUCUAACGUGGAUAAUUCUCAUUCACUUGGAUCUAGGGUUCUUGACUAACCUUUUGGAACUGUGCAAGAGUAAGGAUUCCGGACCACUCAACGGAAUCCAAUCACAUCGAUUUCUCGUAAUCUAUCCAGACCUGUUGCAUGCAAAAUCAGUGCCAUCGAUCAUAGUUUAUAAUUCUCAAUAUAAGUUCGUAACUAUGAAUACAUAGUCAAGUCUCUAAUAACUCCGAAUGAGUUACCCAGACAUCCAACGACUUUUCUAAUUUAAACUACAAGAUUCUCAAAAUCCAUCUUUCAUAUGUACAAUAAACAUUAGGGCUAGAAGAACGCAGUUCGGUCGAAGCCUACAUAAGUAACCAAACAGGAAGUGGCCCCCAAAGCGGAUUACCCAAGCAGUGCCACCCCUGAGAAAAUAAUCAAGUAGGCAGCGACCUCCCAAUGCGGAUUAACCUAGCACAAUCACUCAUAUAGCUGUUAGAAAGUGAUCAUCCAAUGCGGAUUAACCAAACAUGAUCACUCUUAAGCAUACAUGGCCAUAAGGAUCGCCCAACGCGGAUUAACCAAGCACGAUCCAUAUAUAGUAUGGUCCCCCAAUGCGGAUUAACCAAGCAGGACCACUAAUUACCCCCAAUGCGGAUUAACCAAGCAGGGUCAAGAAAAUCAAGUAGGUAACGCAGAUAUACCAAGCAUGAUCACUCUUAAGUAUAAAUGGCCAUAAGGAUCGCCUAACACUGAUUAACCAAGCGCGAUCCAUAUAAAGUAUGGUCCCCCAAAGCGGAUUAACCAAGCAGGACCACUAGUGACCCCCCAAUGCGGAUUAACCAAGCAAGGUCAAAAUAAUCAGGUAGGUAGUGAUCACCCCAUGCGGAUUAACCAAGCAUGAUCACUCCUAGUACGCGUAUGGUCCCCCAAUGCGGAUAUACCAAGCAGGACCAUCAAUGUACAACUACUACAUGGUGCAGAAAAUUCAACACACACAACUUACCCAUCACUUAACCCCUAUGGAUUACAAUGUAAUCACCUACACCAACAAUUCUCAUGCCCACCAACUCAAAUGCCUCACAAGCAUAUAAGUUCUACAAAAAUACUUCUAAUAGGAAUCUACGAUCACAUUGUCACAACAUUUAUCGGACUUACCCUUCACAUUACUAAAAAGAUAAUUAAACGCACAUGUAUCACAAUCAUCAUCCGUACAUAAGCCAAUUCAUGUUUAAUAAACAUAAGUCUAUGGCCAAAUAUAUAAAAAGCACAUUUCAAUAGAAAUCACCUUUAUAAGACCAAAACAUAAUCACAUAUGAUACUAAUAUAAAAAUCAAGGUAAUAGCUUUGUCACAUAUACACAAGUCAUUCCCUAACCAAUGUAGACUCACUAGACUUCACUUAAUCUUCCGUAGUACUAAUUUUAGUAAUUAGGACGUUUCAUGACAUGUUGACCAAAAGUCAAUUCUCAAUAAACAUUAGGGUCCACAAACUUACGUAAUUUGAUUCGGAAGAUCCGCACCUCAGAUUUCUGAUCCAUAACUUUCCAAAGUCCACAUUAUGCUCAAAUAACAACAUACUAAAAUCUCAACACGAUCCGACCGUCGGAUCUCUGCCAAUUUCAAAAUUCAAGUGGCGGUCGACACUUAAUUUUUCAACUUCGAAAUCCAAUUAGGGAAGAUCCGUAUGUCGGAUUCCCGAUCCGUAAAUUUCUAUGAUCCAUAAAUAUUAUAUUCUAUCAUGCAUUAAGGUUUGGUGACAAUCUAACGGUUGGAUCGUCGAAUCAUAUUUUGACCUAACCACGUAUCAUAAUGAAAUUAGGUUCAAACAAUCAAACCAUAUCAUAAGGAUGUCAAUUAUGAAAUCAGGACAUCUAAUUGAACUUAAAAGGACAUCGUCGGCCCACUGGCCAGGGCGCCGCCGCACGCGCCACCGCAGGUGGCAGUCAGCCGCCCCAACUUGCCGAAAAAAUUCAACUAUUUUUAAAAAUUACCAAAAUUUACAGAAAUGAAGAUCUCAAUGAGUAGAGUAAGUUUUAUACCUGUGGCCAAGUCUAAUUUGGCGGGUAAAAGCCCCAAUUUUAUCCAUACCCGCAAGAACCCUAGAAAUUUGGGUGACUUUGAUUCGGCUUCUCCGGUGCUCCGCCGCCCCUAUAUUUGUUUGGGCUUUAUUCCAGACCUCAAGAAGAGGCUAUGGAUGGUGGUAAUCGAAGAAAUUUGUUUCAAAUUGGGAAAUCGUCCUCUAUGAACCCGCACACCCACCGGUGUGACUUUCCCAGUUUCAAGAUUAUUUUGCAUGGAAUGUGGGAUAGAAUAGGUAGAGGGGAAGAUGAGAAAUGGUUUCAAAGUGAUGAGAAACUUCAACUCGCUGGGAAUUUGCCGAAAGACUACCCAAUUCCAAUGGGUCUGCCCGUUGGUUUUGCACGGGUUCAGUGACCCGUUUCCUCCCCCCCCUUUCUGAUUCCUUUUUCCUCCCUUUUCUUUUUUUUUUUUGCUGCCACACGGCAGUUUCAAAUUAAUCUUUUUUUUUUCUUUUUUUUUCCCAUUUCUCAUUGGUCCCUUUCCCACUAUGUGGGAGUUCACUAAUUCCUACACUUUAUAGUGUCACAACUUCAAACGUUCAUAAAUAUACCGUUAUAAAUCGAACUCACAAACGGCAUUCGCCUAUGCGUUCGUGAUCUCGAAAUCUAUUCAGCAAUAUAAAUUGUGACCUCGAAAGGUUCGCAGAUUUUAACUAAUUACUUCCCAAACUUCAAACUUCGUGACUAAUUUAAUUAAAAUCUAAAUUCAAACAAUUUAAAAUAAAUUCUCAAUAAUACAAAUACGUAGGUGAUAAAAGUGAAAUCCAGGAACGAGAUUUCACAAUAUAUGAGAAGGGAUGCAUUCAAAGUUAUGCUAAAUUCGCCGAACAAAUAUGUAUUGGUUAGACUACUGUUCGGGCAGGAAUUUCGUUGGGAAAGGUCCCUGGCUCGAGCACACAGCUCCCCGAGGAAUUGGCGCCGAUUGAUGUGGCUGUCGGGCUCCUGCUUGUUGGCGGGCUGCAAUAGGAGGACAAAGUUAGUUAUGAAAUGUGCCUUUGUGGGGCCUUAGGUGUAGGCCUUGAGGCUCGCAAUCAAAACUAACUAAUUGCUCAGGCGUGCCACUGCCAUCUUCAACAUGGCAGAUGUAAAAUAAGUAUAUUCAGUUGUUUGCUUGUGCCCGAGAGACUAGUUCAGUUAUGAAAGAUGCCUUUGUUGGGCCUUAGGUAUAGGCCUUGAGGCUUACAAUCAUAACUAACCAAGUACUCUUAGCAUAUUGAUGUUGUUUCAUUGUUGUAAAGGUCAAACAACUGUUUUCAAGCUAAUUACUCGCGCCCGAAUGACUGAAUUAGCUCUGAUAGGUGCCUUUGUGGGGCCUUAGGUAUAGGCCUUGACGCUCGCUAUCAAAACCAACUCAACACUUUAAGCGUAUCAUUGUAAUUAUAGUAUAAUGGAUGUGAAGGUCGAUUACUUGCGCCCCAAGUUACUCGGACUUCUUGCUAUCAAAAGAUUAUCGUGGAUGAGUUAAGUCCACAUUAAGUUCUUUUUUAUGCCUUAAGACUAAGGACUUUUAGUUGAUCAAUCUCAUAUGCUUGAGAAGUGAGAAUUUAGAUCUGAUCAAAGCAUCAGUUCACCAAAUGGAUCAAAUCUAAGAACUUAUGGAUCUUUCAAUUACAAACUGACUGGAAAUGACUUGAAUAAACAUUGAAGUACUCAUUCUACUACCAGAUCUAUGUAUUGAAAGACGAAACAAAUAAGGUCGGGCAAGAACCACUCGGUCCGUAUUCGUCCCUAACGAAGCCCAGAUCUAAGAACCACUCGGAUCGAGUUCACCUGCAUCUGUUUCUAUUUCGCACCACACACCUGCUGCCUUAGAACCACUCUCUUGUCGCUGUUUGUUCGCACCGUCGCGACACCAAUGCUCCACAGACCUCCAGUUUGAUUUUGCAUUGUCUGCCCAGAAAGAAAGGUUGUUUGUUGCUCGCAUGCUUAUUUGUUCGUUCUUUUGUUUGCUGUUUGCUCGUUUGUUCGUUCGUUUGUUUGCUCGCCUGUUCGCCUUGUCUUGUCUUGUCCGCCUAAUGGAACUUGCAUCUGCAUCUACUUGUUGGAAAACUCAUGUCUGUUCCGCCAUGAGUUUGACGGGGGGUGUUGGAAUUUAGAUUAUUAUUAGUUAUCUUGCAGGCCAAGGAUUAGUUACUUGCCCAUUAAGUUUUUGUUUUAGUCUAGGGUUUGCUUUAGUCUUUCUCUAUAUAAAGACCUCUUUGUAUUUGAUAUUUUUAAUCAAGUUCGUCACAAUGUAGCCUCUUAGGGUUUUGUAGCCGUUUCGACAUUCUCGUUAGUUUAAUAAUAUUUUUUUUAUUUUGUAAUUGAUAAAUAUCGUUUUGCUGAUGAAUAAUCAAGCUCUCUCACCUUGAAUCCCUGCUGCAAUGGCAGCAUGGUUUAUAUACAAGUUUACAAGCAUGCAAUAAACAAUACUACUGUCCUUAACCCUUGCUGUACUGACAGCAUGGUUUAUAUACAAGUUUAAUACACGCAUGCAAUAAAUAAUACAGGUGGCAGAAACCAUGUGAAGUAUUCCUUCUGUCAGGGUGUGCAGCUAAGUAUUCCUUCUGUCAGGUUGUGCAGCAAGUGGAUUGCAGCUGGAAGGUUGAGGUUGAAUUGGUGGUGCUGUCGUGGACCUUUCUUUAGGGUUUGGUUUAUCACACCCCCGCAAGCUGACGGGGCGUUGACGAACGGGAAGCUUGGAGAUAAGAUAAUGGAAACGGACAGAGGACAAACCCUUGGUUAAAAAAUCAGCAAUUUGAUCUGUGGUAGCCACAUAACCAACCUCUAGUUCCUUGCGAAUGACCUUUUCCCUUAUGUAGUGAUAAUCCACUUCAACAUGGCGCAUGCGAGCUUGAUAAACAGGAUUGGAAGCAACAGCAAUGGCGCUGAUAUUGUCACACCAGAGACGAGGUGGCUGUAAUGGUAGAUAUAAAUCACGGAAUAGAUUUCGAAACCAUGAUAGAUGGGCAGAAGUAUAGGCAAGUUGACGAUACUCCGCCUCUGUGCUGGACCGGGACACUCCACGUUGCUUUUUCGAACUCCAGGAAAUUAAAUUAUCUCCAAGAAAUAUGCAGUGACCUCCAGUGGAACGACGGUCAUCAGGGUCGCCGGCGUAGUCAGCGUCAGCGAAGGCAGUUAGAGUGAGGGGACUGGGUUUGUAAAUUAAGCCAUGAUCAUGUGUGCCUUUCAAAUACCGUAAGAUGCGUUUGACUGCAGCCCAAUGUGCAGUAGUUGGAGAGUGCAUGAACUGACACACUUGGUUGACAGCGUAAGCAAUAUCAGGACGUGUAAAUAGAAGAUAUUGAAGGGCGCCCACAACACUGCGAAAAGAAGAUCCAUCUGAGAGAGGCUCUCCAUCAUAUAAACUCAAGCGUGUUGUGUGAACCGUCGUAGGCCACUGAAGCUCAAGGGAAAUUUUAUAGGAUGGCAAUAAGGCCAGCGAUGUUGUAUGGCACAGAAUGUUGGGCGGUGAAGCAUCAACACGUACACAAAAUGGGUGUAGCGGAGAUGAGGAUGCUUCGUGGGAUGUGUGGGCACACGAGAAAGGAUAAGAUUGGGAAUGAGGAUAUCCGAGGUAAAGUAGGAGUAGCCGAAAUUGUAGGAAAGAUGAGAGAAAAUCGGCUCCGGUGAUUUGGACAUGUGCAAAGAAGGCCGACUGACGCUCCGGUUCGAAGAUGUGACUACGGGACAGAGGUUCAGGGCCGAAGGGGUAGAGGAAGACCUAGGAAAAUUUUGGAAGAGACUCUAAGAAAAGACUUAGAGUACUUGGAUCUAACGGAGGACAUGACACAAAAUUGAGCGCAAUGGCGUUCUAGGAUUCAUAUAGCCGACCCCACUUAGUGGGAAAAGGCUUUGUUGUUGUUGUUGUUGUUGUUGUUGUUCGUUGCGCACUCUGAUAUUCAACUGUCCUGAGGUUAUUGCUCAAUAAGUAUGACCCCCAAAUUCCCAAACCGUAUCAAACAUGUAUAUGGUGAGAUCUUGGAAACCUACUUUUCAUCACAACUUUUGUUUUUUACCAUGUAACACUCACACCGUCACGUAAUAUUGUUGUUUCACUCAUAUUUUUUAAUCAUUAAUACUCACACCGCUAUUUAGUAUUACCAAUUCAGUCCUGUCAUAACACAUGUAUUUUUUAUGGGAAACCAUUUUUCUCGUUUAUGCACCUUUGUUUGUUUCUAAUCUUUAAAAUUUAUGAUCCUUUAUUCUUCUUUUUAAAUAUAAAAAAUAAACAUGAUUGUGUAUGAGAAGAACAAAGACGUUCAGAAAUCAUUUCCUUGUUUAUUAAUAAUAUAAUCGUUCCAUAAAAUAUCAGUUAUAUCGUAAGAUGUGGAUUAACAAUACUUUGUCACAACAUGAACAGUUUGGAUAUGUGUACGCUUUGUAGAGACCAUAGGUUUUUUCCCAUUUAUCCAAUCAUUUUUCUACAUGUAAGUUGAUCUGUCACAUUUGAUUUGCCUUCCUUGUGGGAUAAAAGACUAUAAAUGCGCGGAGACCUCAAUGAUAAAUGCAGAUGGGAACAAGCUAGACGAGAGGUGAAGAAAUAUGGGGCCAGAAAAGACCAAUAUUGAGGUAUUAUAUAUAUAGUUGAGAAUAUGAUAGUGUUAUCCACACAUUUUUUUACCUUUCAUAUACUUUUAUGUUAAUUUAUAUAUUUUCAUCUUUUUUAAUUAUUUGAUCCGACAGCCAAAUAUUGAAAAAUGUCUGUAAAAGAUAAAAAAGAGUGUGUAGAUAAUACCACUCCGAAAAUAUAAGUGUGAACACGGAAAAUUCCUGAAACGAAAGAAACAAGAACGACGUGCACAAACAAAUAUUAUGUAUUUGAUGAUUUUGGAUUACAAUCUCUCUUAAAUUUGAUCAUCUGAUUCAAUCUCCGUAAGGUGUGUAUUUGUGGAUGUGCGAUUGAUCCAAAGGGCCGUUUGGGCUUGAUCUAAGGAUGAACGUUCUUCAAGGGCCGUGGACUUGAUCUUGAAGGUGGAUUUGAGCGGAUCUUCAAAUGGGCUUUUGGGCUUGAUCUUUGAAGAACAAUGAUGAACGGAUCUCCAAGGGCUUUUGGGCUUGAUCUUGAAGAACGAUGAACGAAGAACGAAGAACACUUUCUUCAAGGGCCGAAGGGCUUUAUCCUGAAGGUGGAUGAUUGUUGAUCCAAGGGGCCGUCGGGGCUUGAUCUUGGAAGAAUGAUGAACGAUGGUGCUUUCUUCAAGGGUCGUCGGGGCUUGAUCUUGAAUUGGUGGAAGUUCUUCAAGGGCCGUUGGGGCUUGAUCUUGAGGAUUGGUGGAUGAUUGUUGAUCCAAAGGGCCGUUGAGGCUUGAUCUUGGAAGAACGAUGAACGAAGAACGAAGAAGGCUUUCUUGAUUCUUCGGGAACCUGGAUGCUUGAGAGCUUCAGAGUUUCAGAGCUUCAGGGCUUCCAGGUGUAAUAUGAAUUGGUUCCUCCCCCCAAAUGAAUGAAAUGGGCUUGUAUUUAUAGAAUUUUCCAAGGCCUAAUUUUGAAUAUAAUAUCCCAGAUGAAAUAAGUCGUUUCUGCCAGGUGUUGACACGUGUCCUAUUUGAUGACUUUUCCAACUCAUUUCAAUUUUCGUUUAAUCACACGCUACAUGUAAAAUUUAUGUAAUACAUGAGCGUUGACACUUUGAUUUAUCGGUCAACAUUUAUUUACCGAAAUUUCGAUGUCUACAAAUGCCCCCACUUCAAGGCACGUCAUAUACAUGUGCUUGUCACGUGUAGGAGAUGCGUUUUGAAGUCCCUUACUGUAGAUGUCGAUCCAAGGGCCAUCGAGGCUUGAUCUUGAAUUGGGCUGGAGAUUUCUUCAAGGGCCGUUGAGGCUUGUUCUUGAACUUUUAUUUGAAAUUUCUUCAAGGGCCGUCGAGGCUUGAUCUUGAGGGUUGAAAUUGGACCACAAGGAGCUUCAUGUGGUAGAUCAUCUUUAGAUUUGGUAGUGGGUGAAUCGGCACGUAUUUUGUUGCGCUUGUUGACUUUCCACAGCUUUGAUCUUGAACUGGGUUGAAGGAUUUUCUGGAUUCCUCCAAUUGUUGAUUUUCCACAGCUUAUUCUUGAACUAGGUUUUGAUUCAAGGGUGGUAGACACUUAAUCUUGAAUCGGACUUGUGAUUUCUUCCAGGGCCGUCGAGGCUUGAUUUUGAAUUUGGCUGGAAGCUUCUUCAAGGGCCGUUGAGGCUUGAUUCUUGAAGGCUGACUCGAACACAUGGCAAGCAGGCACGAGGUGAAGGUGACGACUUGUUGCUUUGUUCAAUCUUUCUAAUUCACACCUGAGCAGUUUGGUCAACGGUAUGAUCUUCAAGAUUGAUGGGCUCUUCUUCCAGUUGGUGACUUGGUCUUUAAGGAUUUGAUUCAAGGGUGGUGAAUCGGCACGUGCAGCCCACAACGCCUAGUAAGUCGACCCAAGAAUUUGAGGGUCAAAACGAGUUCACCGUCCUCAGGCAGAUGCGGCAUCUUCUCGAGUUCUUCAUCUCAGACUCUUUUUGCUGAGUUGACUGUGCAUGCUGCAUUCUUCUCUGCUUGUUUCUUCAGGCAGAUGUGGCAGCUUCUCGAGUUCCUCAGUUCGGACUCCUUCUGCUGAGUUGACCGUGCAGACCGCAUUCUUCUCUGCUUGUUCCUUCUGCACCUUGUCUCCACAUGCUGCAAGGUAUCAUUUUCACUUGCCUUAUCUGUCCUCCAGGCAGAUGUGGCAGCUUCUUUGAAAGUACAGCAGCGGUGGAAGGCGAGUACUCGAGAGCAGUGCUAGGUAGGCAAUCAGGGAAGGGUUCCAAGCAGUCGGUUCCUUACCCGAGUUUGAGUGGAAGUUCCAGCAUAUUGUUUUCUUUAUCCUUGUCUUUGUAGGUAGGAACAAGGACAAAGGAAAUGACAGGGACAACGCAUGUUAUGAGAUACUCUUGCUUUCUACCCUGGUGAUAUGAGAUACUUUUGCUUUGGAGUCAUUAGCUUGCAGAGGUACCCCAAGGAAUAAGGAACACUGAAUGACUCGAGAGGUUUCGUUGGGAAAACAUUUUUUGAGAUGAAGAAAGGCUCUGUAUGUCUGCCUUGCUAUGGAAGGCGAAGGUAGACAAUUAUAGGAAGUUCUUUGAUACCUGUAGAGGUACUAUUCUUUCACUCGUGUCGGCAACCGAUGCGUGAUUGAUCUAUAUAGCUUCACGUGCUUGUUUCUUUAUUAGAAAUUUUUGACAAAUUGUACCUCUUCUUUCUUCAACACUUUGAAAAUGUCAGGACCCUUCGAUCGUCGUUUUGACUUGAAUCUUGGUGAAGAGGCAGUCCCGCCUUCUCCAGACAACAUAUGGCGCCCAUCAUUCAUAUCCCCUACUGGUCCUCUUACCGUUGGGGAUUCGGUGAUGAAGAAUGAUAUGAUCGCUGCGGUGGUGGCCCGGAAUCUUGUCACUCCCAAAGAUAAUAGACUACUUUCCAGGCGGUCUGAUGAGUUGGCUGUUAAGGAGUCUCUGGCUCUUAGUGUGCAGUGUGCGGGUUCCGUGUCCAACAUGGCCCAACGCCUAUUUGCUCGAACCCGUCAAGUUGAAUCGUUGGCGGCUGAAGUGAUGAGUCUCAAACAGGAGAUUAGAGGGCUUAAGCAUGAGAAUAAACAGUUGCACAAGCUCGCACAUAACUAUGCCACAAACAUGAAGAGGAAAAUUGACCAGAUGCAGGAAUCUGAUGGUCAGAUUUUACUUGAUCAUCGGAGGUUUGUGGGUUUGUUCCAACAACAUUUGCCUUCGUCUUCUGGGGCUGUACCGCGUAGUGAAGCUCCGAAUGAUCAACCUUUGGCUCCUCUUCUUCCUGGAGUUCCGCCGAGUGGUGAGGCUUCAAACAGUCAACCUCCAGCGCCUCUCAUUUCUGGAGCUCUGUCGAGUGGUGAGGUGGCGCCUGAUCGUCCUUGAAGAUCCCCUCUUGUAAAUUUGAUUUGAUUUGAUUUUUUUUUUUUAAGGUAUGUAUAAUGCAAAUUUAUGUAAAAUUUCCAGAAAAAUAAAUAAAAUGGACUUUAUUUCUCUCAAUGCAAUUUCUUUUUUUUUUUGCUAUAUAUAUAUUAUGUACACACAUAUAUAUAUAUAUAUAUAUAUAUCUAUAUAUAUUAUUUCUUUUUCUUUUGGCGCUGUACAACCAUCCCCUUUUUUUUCUUUUGUUUUUUUUUCUUUUUCUUUUGGCGCUGUACAACCAUCCCUUUUUUUUUCUUUUGUUUUUUUCUCUUUUUCUUUUGUCACAUGGUGCCAGACGCACCAAAGAUCUUUUUUUUUUCUCUUUUAUUAUUAUUAUUAUAUAUAUAUAUAUAUUUUUUUUUUGCCUUUAAUUAUGGUGCCAGAUGCACCCUCCCCUUUUUUUUAUAUGGUGCCAGACGCAUCAUGCAUUUUUAUUAUUAUUAUUAUUAUUAUUAUUAUUAUUAUUAUUUUCUUUUUCUUUUGGUGCUGGAUGCACCAAGUUCCAUCAUCAUUUUUUUUUUCUUUUUCUUUUUGCACAUGGUGCCCAUGCACUACCAGGAACUUUUGAUCUGCCAUGGGGCUGUUCCCCAUCUUUGAUCCACCAUCCCAUUUUCUAUUAUUAUUUUUUUGUAUAAAUUUCGAUGAUGGGCUGGGGAAUUUACAGGGAGCGGAGCAAGGAGGAGAGGAUGGGGAGUUGGAGAGGGCUUCGGAGCACCGGUGCUUCAGCCAUGGAGGGCACGAGGUCGUCAGUGCCAUAUUUCGUCGUCUGCUGGAAUAGUCUAGGGAGCGAGCUUCUUGCAGUGGGCACACCGCGAUGCGUAGAACUGAACGACGAUGAUGACGGUUCCUUGUUGUCGUGACCUUUGGCGGAUGGAGUGAGAGUCCUAACUUUGAGUUCGAGGGCUGUGAGGACGUGGUUUGACGGAGAUCUUGCCAUCGUCGUUGGAAUCGAAGCUUUUGAAGACCUUUCUGGUCUCCUCGGCGACGAAGCUGCACUCGUCGAUGCGAGCAGGCGGCGGAACGGUGGUGGCUGCAACGCUGUGAUCUCUUGAAGUCCCUGCAGCUUGUCUUGAAUGCACGUACCAAGCAAACCGCCCGGAAAUCGACGGAGGCAAGGCCCCAAGGAAGCAGCUGGCCACCAAGGCAGCCUGGAAGUCUGCUCCGGCGACCGGAUGAGUGAAGAAGCCUCACCGCUUCAGGCCGGGAACGGUGGCGCUGAGAGAUCAGGAAGUACCAGGAGAGCACGGAGCUCCUGAUCCGUAAGCUGCCAUUCCAAAGGCUGGUGAGGGAGAUCGCCUAAGACUUCAAGACCGAUCUGAGGUUCCAGAGCAGCGCCGUGGCGGCGCUCCAGGAGGCGGCGGAGGCGUACUUGGUGGGACUGUUCGAGGACACCAACCUAAACAACUUUUAAAGAGCAUCGAGCCAUUGCUAAAGCGGAAGAGCCUGGCGGACGGCGUUUGGGUUCGAGCCAAAAAGGAGAUGAUGUCGGUAUCUUUACUCAGCCCUUGCCUCUCGGAGCCGUCGCUUUGCUCGGCCUCGGCGCAUCUGUCCUCAUCUAACACUCGAAAAUAUUCCUCUUUUCUCAUAGUUCCCUGUUCUUGAGCUCUGUACCCUUCUUCACAUGACUCAUCUUUUUCGGGAAUCACUUCAGGUGGCUGAAAGGCACCCUGACUGGGAGCGCUUCGUUCAUACGGUUGUGGGUUUUCAUCAGGAACAUAUCCCAGAUCCAAGAGUAUCCUAGCCUGACCAAAAUCCACCAGCUUGAGAACUCCAUCGUCCCUAAUCAACAAUUUACAGGGCUUCAAAUCGCGGUGGACCACCAAAUUCUGAUAACACGAGUCAACCUCCGAUAGGAUUUGCAACUUCCACCGCUUGAUCUCGGACAUGUUGGAUGCUAGUUUCUUGUGAGUCGACUAGGUCCAGAGGGAGCGGAUCUCAUCGGAACCAAGAUUCUGUGUGGUCGCGUACUGCUGAUGCACGUGCUGGAACAGAAUUGCUUCAGCGAGAGCUUGUUCCUGGACCAGAGCGUCGUCGAGCUUCUUUUUUCCGGAAGGAUCGGACACGGCUCCAGUGGUUGCUGGAAUUGGGUUUUGGCGGUGGACUGUAGCGGGAAGCACUAGUUGGAGCAGUGCCUGGUGCGAAUUUGUUUCAACGAGCCAACGCUUCAAUGGACCGACAGAUCGGAGCAUGGAAUGGAUCCGCCGCCAUUUCUCAAAUCACAGUUGGAUCGCGCGGAGCACCCCCUCUCUAUCUGUAAAUGAUUUCAGAAGCUUUGCCGCUCGCAGCUCAACCGCUCGCAGGUGGUGUUUUAUUUGUAGACGAAGACGAGUUCACUGAGUCACAAUUGAAUCCUUCAUCAUCUUCAGCUACUCUUGCCGCCAUGGACGAGUUGCUCGAGCUCUGCAACUCUUAUGUCCCUCCAUUGUUGUCGCGAGAACGGCUUGGUAUCUUUUCCGGUCAGGGUAAGCAUGUGCUCUCCAGAUUUCUUCACAUCACCGCCAGUGUAUGGGACGGCGUGCGAUGCCAUUGUCGGUUGGUGCUCUUUUAGCUGCUGCUCGGGCGGGCCACGAGAGUUGGGCUCUUGGCAUCUGGGCCUGUGAAAUGGAGGGAGGCCUGGGCCUGGAAGAAGAAGAAGCAGACAUUUUGGCGAAGGGAUAGGCCUGGCAUUUGGGUCUUUUGCUGACAUUUUGAUUUUUUUUUUAUUUUGAUUUUUUUUAUUAUUAUUUUAUUAAUUUUUUUUUUUGAAGCUGUAAUAAAUGAAUAUAUUUUUUGUAAAUACAUAAAACAUAUGUAUUUUUUUUUCUUUUCUUUAAUAAAACAUUUUUUUUAUUUUGAUAUGACUGAACUCGAAAUUAAAUAUUACAGCUGCCUACGUACCCUUUCAAAGAAAGAGAUCAAGUCAAAACGUAUUCAAAUACAUACAUAUUUUUUUGGUAUAUUUUUUUUUUGUGCCGUUUGCAGUUUUAACUCAUGCAGGCAAGGAGUGUUGGUGCCGUGUUGCAGUUUUAGCUCGUGCAGGCAAGGAGCGUUGGUGUCGCCUUUUAUGCUCGUGCAGACGAGGAGCGUUGGUGUUGCCUUUUAUGCUCGUGCAGACCAGGGGCGUUGUGCCAUGCAGUUUAGACUCGUGCAGGCGAGGAGCGUUGUGCCAUGCAGUUUAGGCUCUUACAGACAAGGAGCUUUGGUGUCACCUUUUAUGCUCGUGUAGACGAGGAGCUUUGGUUCGUGCAGUUUAGGCUCGUGCGAACAAGGAGCAUUGUGUCCUACAGUUUAUGCUCGUGCGGACAAGGAGCUUUUGUUGAUUUUGUCAAGCAAUUUUGGAAAGGCGUUCCUCACAAUCUUCAUAGCAAGGACCCUUGACCGCGUAAUUGAAGAAGUCUUCGGGUAAGAAGUCGCGCAUCGUGAUGGCCACAGACGAUCUUUGUGUCGUAAUUUCAUCCUUUUCAACACGUUCACAUUGCUUUGAAGGUUGACAAGAGCUGAUUUGCCCCCUUUCCGAUUGGCGGAGUUGUGGAGGGGACGUAUGCUUCUUGUGUCAUUUCUUAGGAGUGACUUGAGUCCAUCCUUCAAUUUUGCUUGUCUUGGAGGAUGCCCCCAUCGGUUGAGGUGAAAACUUCGAGUCGGAAGAGCCAGGAGUGAAGGUGGUAUAGUUUAUGUUCACCACAUCGUCAAGAUCUAGCUCGAUGAUUUCUUUCUGAGCCAGCUUCAUGAUGAGAUCUUUCAGCAAGAAACAUUUUUCUGUCGGAUGACUGAUGAAGCGGUGGAAUUUACAGUACCUUGGACUGUCAGUGCGAUUCAUCUCUUCUGGCCGUUUGCACUCAGGUAAACUAAUCACCUUCUUUUCCAGCAAGUCUUCUAACAUGGCAACCGCAUCAGAGUCGGGGAAUGGAUAAGUUUUCUCCUCAAGCUCCUUCAAAGUGCGUCUACGCAUCUCUUGAUCACGAAAGCCUUCGGCUUGAAUCGCCUUGCCUCGUGUAGGGAUUUUGACGGGAGCUGUGUUGACUGUCAUUGCUUCUUUGGUGGAUUUCCACGUAGCCUUCUCCACCUUUGUCUCAAGAACUUUGUCGUUCUUGUAGUUGGCGAUUGGUUCCUUCUUCCCAUGAUGGGGCGAUGCUCAACUCCAUGUCAUGGGCGCGGGUGGCCAAUUCCUCGAAGGUCCGUGGUUUAAUGCCUUGAAUGAUGUAUUGCAAACCCCAUUGCAUGCCUUGGAUGCACAUCUCGAUUGAAGAGGUUUCCGAGAGCCUGUCUUUACAGUCGAGGCUUAGAGUGCGCCAUCUGUUGAUGUAGUCAAUGACUGGCUCGUCCUUCCACUGCUUUGUGCUCGUUAACUCUAGCAUGCUCACAGUGCGGCGGGUGCUGUAGAAGCGAUUGAGGAAUUCCCGCUCUAAUUGCUCCCAGCUGCUGAUGGACUCGAGCUCUAGGUCCGUGUACCACUCAAAGGCGUUUCCUUUUAGCGAGCGCACAAACUGCUUGGCAAGGUAGUCCCAUUCGGUCCCUGCGUUGUUGCAAGUUUCAACAAAAUGGGCAACGUGCUGUUUCGGGUUUCCUUUUCCAUCAAACUGCAUGAACUUUGGUGGUUGAUAACCCCUUGGCAUCUUCAGGGCAUCAAUCUUCUUGGAGUAGGGCUUCGAGUAGAACAAGGAGGUAUGUGAGCUCCCUUCGUACUGUGCCUUGAUGGUGUUGGUGAUCAUCUCCUGCAGCUGCUGGAUAGAAAGAGAUCCCAUGAGUGCCGCUGCUUGGUCUGGCUCCGGCUUCGCAUCGUUUUUCUUCACCGGGGGUUCUUUGUCUCCGCCAGCUCCUCCCUUUGGUGGAUCAUCCUCUGGGUCGGGUUUAUCGCCGUCCUGCGCCUCCAGUCGGUUAACUAGUGCUGCAAUUUGCAAGUCUUUUUCUUCCACAGUUCGGGUUAGCCUUGCGAUUGCUUCAUUCAUUUGAGCCAGCUGCUCAUCGAUUGAAGUUGCUCCAAUGGUCAUGACUUGCAUGGCUGAACUGUCGCUUGAAUCGGCAUCGGAGAGCAUGGAUUCAGAGUAUUUCCUUGGGCUUUCCUCCCUUGGUGCCCUUAGUGAGGCUAAGGUGAUCAAAGGCUCGUGCCUUGGGUGCUUUUGUUCCCUUGGCAGAGUUGAUGCAGAGGUGAAAGAGGCGGCGGAAGUAGCUCUUGCCAUGCUUCGAGUCGUGAUGCCCAAAGUGACACCAUUUGCGACGAGGACGCUUUUGUUCUUUGCGCCGGUUGCGGGAACAGUUUGAGCCUUCCUUGAUGCCAUUAAUUUUGGAAGUGCGCUUGAAUUUCUUGAACGGAGAAAGAGAUGAGAGGUAGAGAUUGUCCCACCGGGCGUGCCAAUUUGUGAACACGGAAAAUUCCUGAAACGAAAGAGACAAGAACGACGUGCACAAACAAAUAUUAUGUAUUUGAUGAUUUUGGGUUACAAUCUCUCUUAAAUUUGAUCCUCUGAUUCAAUCUCCGUAAGGUGUGUAUUUGUGGAUGUGCGAUUGAUCCAAAUGGCCGUUUGGGCUUGAUCUAAGGAUGAACGUUCUUCAAGGGCCGUGGACUUGAUCUUGAAGGUGGAUUUGAGCGGAUCUUCAAAGGGGCUUUUGGGCUUGAUCUUUGAAGAACAGUGAUGAACGGAUCUCCAAGGGCUUUUGGGCUUGAUCUUGAAGAACGAUGAACGAAAAACGAAGAACACUUUCUUUAAGGGCCGAAGGGCUUUAUCCUGAAGGUGGAUGAUUGUUGAUCCAAGGGGCCGUCGGGGCUUGAUCUUGGAAGAAUGAUGAACGAUGGUGCUUUCUUCAAGGGCCGUCGGGGCUUGAUCUUGAAUUGGUGGAAGUUCUUCAAGGGCCGUUGGGGCUUGAUCUUGAGGAUUGGUGGAUGAUUGUUGAUCCAAAGGGCCGUUGAGGCUUGAUCUUGGAAGAACGAUGAACGAAGAACGAAGAAGGCUUUCUUGAUUCUUCGGGAACCUGGAUGCUUGAGAGCUUCGGAGUUUCAGAGCUUCAGGGCUUCCAGGUGUAAUAUGAAUUGGUUCCUCUCCCCAAAUGAAUGAAAUGGGCUUGUAUUUAUAGAAUUUUCCAAGGCCUAAUUUUGAAUAUAAUAUCCCAGAUGAAAUAAGUCGUUUCUGCCAGGUGUUGACACGUGUCCUAUUUGAUGACUUUUCCAACUCAUUUCAAUUUUCGUUUAAUCACACGCUACGUGUAAAAUUUAUGUAAUACAUGAGCGUUGACACUUUAAUUUAUCGGUCAACAUUUAUUUACCGAAAUUUCGAUGUCUACAAUAAGGAUUUCGCCAUCAUUUUUAUAAAUUUGUUUGUAGUCUUGCUUGCUCAUGUUCAAAAUGUGUGGCAUACGCCAACUAGCCAAGGGGCUUGUAAGCUUCCACGCACCCUCAAAUACACGUAUUCGAGUCCACACUGUGAAUCGGAUUAGGAGAAAAAGUAAAUCAUUUUAGCACUGACGUUUUCUCUUUCUGCACUUAUUUCUUUGUUUUGUCUCUUAAUUUCUUUUUUGAAUUUAUUAAAUCUAACUACUAGAAAAGAAAAUGAGUGUAGGGAAAAAGAAAGCGAGUACAUUGUUUUCCAUAAGAGAAUAACAUUUUUGUACGCGCUCAUCUCAACUUUUCACAUGACUUAUAUCUCAUAUUAAGUUAGAUACAACAUGGGGAUAUAAAACCGUUUUAGGAAGAAAAAAAAAUGGAUAUAAUGGGAUAUCUCUCUUUUCUUUCUGUAUAAUAACAUGAGCGGAUCACAUGAUGAGCAGGGCCGGCCUUGAGAUUUCAAGAACUCUGUGCAAAAGUGAAUUUGAGGUCCUAAAAAGUACAAAAAAUUUAAUUUUUUUUUAUUUUUUUGUUCAAAAAAUUAACAAGUGGAUAUGUGGCAUAUUGUUUUUCCUUAACUAUUUAGAGGGUCAGGGUUCGAAUUUUCAUGUUAUUGUGUGAAAAUUUUAUAUUAUUUUGUGAAAGCUUAUGCAUUUAAUAAAAAUAAACUGAAAAAAUGAUGAACACAAGUUUUGAACCCAUCCCUUAGGCCAAUAUAAAGAAGCAAUAAUACCACUUGCGCUAAGACUCAAGUUUGUUAAAUUCUAUACAUAAUACUCUAUAUACGUAUAUGCAUGCAAAAUUGAAAAGUCAGGGGCCUUCCAAUUUAGGGGUCCUGUGCGGUGGCACCACUUGCACCCCCUCAAGGUCGGCUCUGAUGAUGAGAAAUAUAAAGGUAACAGUAUGGUCGAUUGCAUGAAAGAAUAUCUCUCAUUUCAUUUAUUUUUCUGUCAUAUCAAUCCUUACCCACAAACUCGGCUCAAUGUGACUUGGAACUAAUAGUCAUUGCGGCUAUAUUAAUUAGUUUGAUUACAAAUUUCCAUCCAAAUUGGUGUUGUCUAGACUUAUUGUUUGUCAAGGGAUUGACUAAUGACUAGGGAUAUAUAGCUUAGGAAUUAAUACAUCGAAUUCACAUCCAAUCAAGUGUCAAAGAAAUUACAAAAAUAAAGUUUCUUAUUAAGUUGGUUAGAUCAGUGUGUUUUUUUCUCUACAUUUACAAUUUAGAUUAAUUUAGUGUACUCUUUCGGGUCCGUCCUAAAAAUUAGUGCAUGAUUACUUUUUAGAGUGAACUUCUUAUGUUCCCCAAGUUUUAUUAAAUUAUAAAAUUUAUAAAUUAACAACGAAAUUCAAAUGAUUGUAUAUACCAAAUAAAAAUUAGAUUAUGAUAUGAGUUCAUGUUUGACAUUGUUGAUAUCUCGGUUGUGUGAAAUCUAUAAGUCUAGCAACUCAUGUUGUGGCCAUUGGUGAAUGCAGGAUUUAGAAGAAGGUUUCGUUUGAUUUAUUAAGAUAUUUUUAAGGGUAAAUUACAUUUUCAUACAUCAAGUUUGGGCUCUAUUUCAAAUUUUAACAUCUUUAAAACAUUUCACUUUCAUACCCUAAGUACUAUUUUAUUUCAAAAUAAUACAUCCGUUACAUUUUCCAUCCAUAGAUCCGUUAAGUGCUGACGUGGCUGCCAGAUAUAUGCCACGUGGCUGCCAAAUGUGUGCCACGUGGCAAAAAAAAUAUUUUUUUUAAUUUUAAUUUUUUUUAAAACCUGAAUUUUCUAUAUAAAAAAAAACCAUUAUCCAAAAAAAAAAACAAACAAACAAACUGCAACCCAGUUUGCAGUUCGUUCCCCCCCCCCACCCGAAUCCCACCCGAGCCACCCCUCUCUCCCAUCCCCCAUCACCCACCCUCAAAAUCCCACCCGAGAUUAGGUGGAUCUACCACAAAACCAAUCCAAAAAUCAUCUCAAACUCAAAAUCCCCAAGAUGAAUCUACCACAAAACCACCCGAGAUUAGGUGUGAUUCGAGGUCUCUGUGCAAGGGAGGUGGGUCGCGGGGGUUGGGGGGUGGUGAGGCCAUCUCCAACCGAUGGCUGGCCAGAUGGCUCGUUUUAGCCCUCUGGUCCUCCAAGAUUCUCCAAGAUAUUAAUAUUUUAAUGAACAGUACAUGGCCAUAUUUGCCUCCGUCUCCAACCGAGGGCCAGAGGGCCAGAGGGCUCGUUAUAGCCCUGUCACAAAAAACCGUCUCCAAUCGAGGGCCAAAUGGCCAAACAUAAUUUAUUAUUUAAAACUACAAUUUAAAUUCAAGUUAUAGGAAAAAAAUAGAAUUUAAAAAAAAUUAUUAAAAUAGAAGUUAUAGGAAAAAAUAGAAUUUGAAAAAUAUAAUUUAUUAAAAAAAUAUGAACCAAAUUUUGUAAAAUAUAAGUUAUAGGAAAAAAAUAGAAUUUAAAAAAAUUUGAAACCAAUUUUGUAAAAUAGAAGUUAUAGGAAGUUAUAGAAGAAAAGAAAUGUUUAAAUUAAAAAAAAAAAAAAAAAAAAAAAAAAACCCAAUGGCUAGCUAACUCAGCUAGCCGUUAUAUUAAAAAAAAAAUUCAAACUAUUAGUGUUGGUUAUAACCGACACUAAUAGUAAAUAAAAAAAAUGUGCCUAUGAAUACCUAUUACUGUCGGUUAUAACCGACAGUAUUAAAAAAUCUUAUUUAAUGUUGUCGGUUAUAACCGACAGCAAUAGGAAAACUAUAAAAAAAAAAUAGCCAGCCCGGGGCUGGCUGGCUGGCCAAAAGCAGCCAGCCCUUUGGCCCUUUGGCCGUUUGAAAUUUCGUGGGGCCCUCCCAGAUUCCCGUGCCCUCUGGCCCUCUAGACCAUUCGGUAAGAGAUGGCCUGAGGGGAGGUUGGUAGCUGGGUCGCGGGCGUGGGGUGGGGGACGAACUGAGUUGCAGGUUUUUUUUUUUCCUUCCUCUACUUCUUGUUGUUGCAGGUGGGGAACUGGUGGGGGUGUUUUUUAUUUUUUCUUUCUCUUCUUCUUCUUCUUCUUGCAGGUGGGGAAAUGGGUUUGGGUUUUUUUUUGUUUUUUCUUCUCCCUCUUCCUCUUCUUCUUCUUCUUCUUCUUCUUACAGGUGGGGAACUGUGGUGGUGGUGGGGGGGAGGGGGGGAACGAACUGCAAACUGGGUUGCAGCUUGUUUUUUUUUUUUUUUUUUUUUUUUGUUCUUUUCUUUCUUCCUCUUCCUCUUCUUCUUGCAGGUGGGGAGCUGGGGGGUGGGGGACGAACUGAGUUGAAUUGGUGGGGGGGGGGGGAACGAACCGCAAACUGGGUUGCAAUUUGUUUGUUUUUUUUUUUUUUUUUUUUUUUUUGAGAAAAUUCAGGUUUUUUUAAAAUAACGUCAACACUUAACGGAUCCAUGUAUGGAAAAAACAAAUGUAUUAUUUUGAAAUAAAUUAAUACUUAGGGUAUGAAAGUGAAAUGUUUUAAAGAUGUUGUAAAAAAUUGAAAUAGAGCCCAAACUUGAUGUAUGAAAAUGUAAUUUACCCUAUUUUUAAUGUGACCACAACUACUUUUACGUUGCAUUACAAAUUUAAUCAUGCUAUAAAAUAUGUGUUUGUUUAUAAAAGUGUAAAUUUACUAUUUAUAUAUUAUAAUAAAUAUAUUAAUAACAUCACGUGAUAGAUACGUCAAAUUAUCAUCGAGCCGACCACGUUUGAUGUUUUUUUAAGCCAACUUUCCACAAGUUGUCCAUCAAAUCUGCUUCGUCGCGAAGAUGGAACAACAACAGCAAAACUUCAUGUAGUGUAGUGUGCCUGGAAUGGAAGGUCCAUGUCACGUGGGGAAGCGACGAGACACGUGGCAGCAUUUGCAGCCGUAUGAGCACCCAAGGAUCACGUGGACACGUGUCGCAAUGUCGGUCGGGAGAGCUACCAUGGUUUUUGUGGUGGCUGCAAGGGGCCUCAUCCACCCGCUAGGGUUGGGAUGGGAGGGUCCAUUCCAACUCCUGCAACAAAGAAUCUCAAGGAAAUAUUUCCCCUCCCUCUCGCUCUCAGUAGUAAUUGAGUUUACAUGUAAAUGUCCAUUACGAAUGAAAUAUCGGAAGGAAAAAUAAAGGUUUUCGUAGUGUGUUUUGGUCAGAAAAACAUAUUUGAAGAAUCACUUUCAAGUGCUUAUCCAUAUGCACACUUUAUAACUGAAGUGUUUUUUCACAGUGGUCGUCUCAAAUAUACUCUAAAUGAUUCAUUUAAACCAAGUUUUCAGCAAGAAAGAAAACUGAAACAAAUCCAAUUUUGCAAUAUUUGCCUCUUAUUAGUUAAUUGCGAGUUCAUGAUUAGUCAAUAUGUAGAUAGAGACUGAUUUCUCAUGUCAAACAUUCAAGCAUGUUAUAUUGUUGAAUCUUAGGCCUUGUUUGGUAGCCCGUAUAACAGACCGGAUAGGAUAACUAAAACGGUUCCAGGUGUUUGGUGCUGUUUUGUACUAAAUAAUAUUCGUACUAAUUAUACUGACCCCACACCUUUUAUACGGUACAUACCUGCUAAGUUAUCCAACCAAAAAGCUCUGUCUUAUUAGUCGGGUAGUCUCGCCCUCUCUGUUCCUCCCGUCGCUCGCCCGUCGCUCGCUCUACUCCUCUCACAUCGCUUGCUCUCUCCUUUGAAUCCAAGGUUCUUCCUCCUCUUCUGAAUAUGAGGUUCUUCUUCCUCCUCUCUGUUCCUCCCUCCUCCUAUUUUUCUUGCAAUUUUUCUUCUUCUCUCUCUGUUCUGCCCUCCUAUUUUUCUUCCAACUUUUUUUUUUUCAAUCAGAUUGAAUCUGAUUGUUGUUUUUUCUCUCUAAUUUUGCAAUUGAUUUUAUAAAUUUUCAAGUGCUAAAGAACCCAUCUGCCUCCUUUGGGUCAUAUCCUUCAUAACCAUUCUAUUUAGUUGGGCUGAUUUGAAGCUAAAAAAAAAGAGAGAAGGAUUGGGAAAAAAAUGAUGAGAAUUUGGAAGGUGGGUUUUGCUAGGUUUCUUGUUGUUGCCUUUGUGGUGGAGUUUGGUUUAAGGGAGCAGACGAAGAAGAACAAGGGAGAGGGAGGGAGGGAUUUGGGGGGUGCGGCGGAGAGAUCCGGGGAACAAAAGAGAGAUUUCAGUUUUUUUUUUAAAUUUUAUUUUAAGUUUGAUUCUCCUAUCCAGUGUAAUACCAAACACAGUAUAAAUAAUACGGUCAUUAAUCCGAUACUGCACCAAACACCCAACUAAUUUAAUCAGCACUAUCCGGUGACUAUUUAUCCUAUCCGACAGAAAUAGCCAGUACAAUCCGAGCUGCCAAACGAGGCCUUAAUGCAUUCAAUCAUGCUCAGAAUUGUGGUGUAAGAACAUACACAUUAAAGGUGUCAAACGAAUAGGUUGACGUCAACUUGUUAAAUUAAGGCAUCACCAUCCCAAUCCGUUUUAAAGCGGCCCUAGCUUAUAACAAGCGCUAGGUCGAGAUUAUGCCCAACAGGUCAACCCAACCUGUUUUCUAAGUGGGCCAACUCAAGUACGACUCAAACACGCAUACUCCAACUUGAAACCGAGAUGUCCAUUUGACACUUUGUUAAAGCUCAAAAAGUAGAAUAAUUAGCCCUUGGUAGGCUUGGAAUUGAAACUAAAAUGAAAUGGACUCAGAAUUUAAGUGGUUCACCCCAAAACAAGACUACACCUGCUGUGUUGCUUAGAUUUUAUUGAUUUCAAAGUUUACAAAUAGCGUUCGGCUAAAUACUAGAAUUCUAUCUCCCUUAAGUUGUCUGACCCCCUUACCAGAGGUUCCGACCUCUUUAUAUAGGCCAUCCAUUAACUCAGAAAACCUUGGGCUCACCUAGUUUUAUUUUUCUAACAUUUAAUGUGACACCUACAUCAACUAGCGUGCUAACAACCUUUUUAACCAUCAGUCGAUAUUCAGCGGUGAAAAGACACUUGCUCAUUCGGAAUUGCACGCCCUUGAAGAUCAAUGUGUGUCCAGCAACCUACUCGGUCUUGAUUAGUCAACCAUGUCACUCCAAGCAAUAGCCCAACCGUCUUUACGUCUCGUCGUAGACUUCUGACAUGUGCCCUGAGUAGGUCUGCUCCUAAAGAUUUGUACCAUAAAGUUGUCGGUAUUCCCACGUGUCUUGGGGGUCGGAAAGUACUUUAUGUUGGUCAGUUGGACUACGCUGGUGAGUGGUCCCCCCUCUUUAAUUUUGUUGAGCCUUGGGCUUCUUAUUCUUCUUUGGGCUUUAACUUUUAUUGGGCCUUUGGUGGCCUUUUCCCUAGCUUGCACUAUUUUGAGGGUUAAAAAGGACACUACAUUAACAAAUCUCUGUACACACCAGACAGAGUGGUAUUCCUUAGUACCGCACGGAGGUUUUGAGUUUAAAUCCCUCUUUUUUUUAGUAUCGCUUGUAUUGCAAAAAAAAAAAAUAAAUAAAUAAAUAACAGAAAGCAUUUUUUGCCCAAACAUUCUACGUAGUUAUAGUGUGAAUCCAAACCGUUGAUUAGGUGGUACAUUUCAUAGUUAAGUUCUUAAUCACUUUAUUUCAGCCUUUGCCAAUAUGGCAAAAGGAUCACAAAGACGGGCUACCAUGUCCUCAUUCAUAAGGGUGGAGGGUUUUUGCUUGGCUGGUUGUACGUUUGAGCCCUUUGGACGGUGUCUUUGGGGUCUUGUUCUUUGUUUCUGUUUUUUAUGGUCUUGCAGGACUGUCCUCUGUGUGUUUGUUAGGCCUCUGUGCCUUUCUGGUUUCUAUGAAGCUUUAUCUUAACCAAAAAAUUAAAAAAAAAAAAAAAAAGAAUCACAAAGCAUAAAUUAACUAUAAUGCAGGAAGAUGGCCUUGCUCCACCAAAGAGGCAAUGCAAUCAUCAAACAUCUCUUGGAUACUCUUAAACUUGAACCCUCUCCCCAGCUUUGAGGUGUUCAACUCAUAAUAACGUGGCCUCCCUAGUUGCUCAAACCUAAAAAUUCUCAUGUAAAAUUCGAUUAAAAGUAAUUGAUAUAACUGAUGCUUAUAGCAUGUGACGCUCUUUUUUUUUUUUUUUGGGGGGGGGGAAUUAGGAGCAUAAAAAAUGGAUCGGCCCAUAGUAUGAACCGAUAAAUUAUGCUUAAUUAAUUGUAGCUGGUAAAAAUAUCAAACCUUGUGGGGAUAGGCAAGGAAGGAUAUCUUGUAGAUAAUAAGGAACCUAACUCAGUGUUGUCCAUAACUGUUGAGCUACAAAUACAUCUGCCAUGAGCACUUUCAUGCUCAUAAACUAAGAUGUGACAGAGUGCAACAUCAUCAAUGUGAACAUAUCCCAUCCUUCCAUUCCACUUAAAUUUCUCUGUUUCCCCUGCUUGAUUGUUCAAACAAAUAACCGUGUAAUGUGCUUAUAAUCAAAGUUAAGUAAACGAAGAACAAGCGCGAAAAAUCACGAAGAUAAAUCUGUAGUAGUAGUAGUACCUUUAAGCAGGCCAAGAACAUCUGAUGCUGUAGAACACAACUCAGGUGGCAAACAAGGCCCGAUCACGAAGGAGGGUAGGACAGUAACCAUAUCAAUCGCAUUUUCUUUGCAGAAAUCCCAUCCUGCUUUCUCAGCUAAAAUUUUCGACAUAGGGUACCAAAUCUAGUGAAAUAGGUGCAGAUGCAUAAUUUGUCAGUUAAACGGUUUGGACGGAUUAUAUAUAAUGCACAUGGAAAAAGAAAACAUUGAGCUUAAGAAAUGUAAUAGCACAGAUCAAUAAAAUUCGGCAUUACUUUGCUUUGCAGCUACGUAUUAGUAUAUAUGAGAAGGGAUGCAUUCAAAGUUAUGCUGAAUUCGCCGAACAAAUCUGUAUUGGUUAGACUACACACUGCAGUUAGCAAACAAUCUGUACCAAGGCAAAAUCCUUAACAAGGACAGAGGGAGAGUAUUGUUAACUAGACCUGAAGAGUCACCCAGAGGUACAUUGGAGGUGAAAUCCCCAUCUGGUCUCACCCUUACAGCUGCAGAAUAUGAGGUGAGAACCACGCUCCUUAGAGACGGAUUUUUCUUACACGAACGCAACACGUUCAAUGUGCCCUCAACAGGCGGUUCCAGGAUUUCUGUCUGUGUAUGUAUGCCGAAACUUUGUUUAAAUGUAUGAUCUGUAUUGAUGGUGUGACAACACAACAUGUUAUAUAUUUGACGAGAAAAAGUUAAACAUGCAACGUGCCUUGGGAUCAGACGAAGGUUUUAAAACAAGGGUAGCAGAGUGGAAAACGCCAUGGCACCCAAAAAUUGCAUCAUCAAAGCUGCCUUCUUCCAUCAAAUCUGCCGUCACCAAUCUUAGUCUUUCCUUAGCUCCUUCUAGCCUCCACAAAUGUGCCAAUUUCUUCUCGUUUCCUUUGAACUCAUGGAGAAAACCGCAUAAGUUUUGUGUCGAAAAAACGAAUCCGAUGCUACUUCAAGCAGAUUGACUUGGGGGUUACGGUGCCUACCUGGAUCUCUUACAGUCCCCGUUACAUGAUAGUCGGACAAGAGAAGCCGCUUUAUAAGCCAGGAUGCCAUAAAUCCAAAAGCCCCCGUAACGCAAACUUUGCCUUUCGAAUCGAGUUUUCGAUCCAUCUAUGUUCAAAUUAGUAGUGUUUUAGUCCAAUUGCAUUCCAGGCCACUAGGUUUUAUAAGGAACGUAUAAAAGUAGACAUUGUAAACAUACAUGCUAUGUGCAUUGGGAUUUCUCACUAAGAAAUGUUUAGGUAAGGCAUCCUAUGCCAUGAGGGAAAUGAUUUUUAGCUUGAGCUAUGGUUAGAAGUAGGCAAGUCAUGCUAAAGUGAUGAAGUUCGAUGCCAUACACCGCCAAUGUGACGCCUGUCCUAAUCACAAACAUUAGAUUGAGAAAAACUUACACUUGUGUUAUUCGCACGACACGUGGUGGUAAUUGUAUACCUUCUAUGUAAGUCCUCUUCCACAACAGCAAAUCUCUAAAUUGUAACUAGGUCCACUUUAACUCCAAAAAUCAUUCUGUGGGCCUGACCUCACAUUGUCAGUCAGACCAAACUCAUCCACCCAAAUAAGGCAUAUCGAAGCCUCGUUGCUCUAAGGCCCAUGUUUCUAGGGGCACUUUCUUUUUAGAUUAAAAAUGAAAAUGAAAUUUGAACUUGAUUGACGAAAUUUGAACUCAAAAUCUCUUUUAAAUAUAGAAAUACUAUUACACUAAAUGCUAGUUGUUUCUAGUGACACCUUUUUUAAGUUGAGUAGUCAAUGAAGUUGAAUUCAUUUAUUUGGUUUUCUGAAUCCUUUACCUUUGAUGAUCAUUUUGAUUUUGUCUCACAGUUCAUAUUAUGAGUUUUGUUAGGCAAUAUGGUAAGUUCAAAUUUCAUGAAUUAUAGUUGUUGCCAUUAUACCAUAUGUAGAUACAACAUUAAAGUUCUUGAAAAGAAACACAGUGUUAAAAAAAAAAAAACUAAUACAAAUACCAGUUGAUUACUCUUUCUUCUUGUCAUUUUCUAAUCAAAUAAGGCGGGAAAUUCAAACUUGAAAUCUCUUCUAAUAUUGGGAAGACAAAGCCACUGGACAUAUUGUAAGAAAUGUGAAUUGAAAUCAUUACAAAUCUUGAUGUUCCUGCGUUCCAAUUUCUAAGUUCUAUGUGUUUACUAUCACAAACGGAUUUAAAAAAAAGGUAUGAAUUUCACCUCAAGACUUGUAAUUAAAUACCUAAAAAUUAGGAUGAGAUUAACUAAAAGAACCAGUUGAUUCAAUUUACAUUUAUUUUUAACUUUCUCGAUUCGUGACUUCCCAAGUAGCAUGAGACGCAAAAAAAAAUUUUUUUAAAAAAAAAAAAUAUAUAUAUAUAUAAUCAAUAAUUUCAAUUAAAUCCCCUUUUUGUAGGAAAUAAAAAAUUUCUAUUAAAUUGCGCCUAAUGUCAGUACAACUUCCUAUUCCCAUUUGGUUUUGAUUUUGAUGCAAUCACUAUAUAUAUCCAAAAGAAAUAACAUAAACAUUUAUAUGCAAAUCACUCACAAAAUAAGGAAGUGGAAAAUUGUCUUGAUGAAUACGGCAUCUAUUCCAACCCGCUUAAUCUCGAAUCCAUACAUUUUUUCUCCACCUAUGGAUUGGUGUAAUAACAUCAAAGAGGGAACAAAUAAAACAACAAACAAAAGCCAAGCCACCGUCUUCUUGUUCUUUCUUCUAACGAACUCUUUCUCACUUCUUCCAUUUCAAAUUAAAUCCAAGACACUUCCUUUCUCCAUUAAAUUAAGGGAGUUUUAACGAAAUACUCCCGAUACUGUUCAUUUUUAACGAAAAAUCAUAUUUUUACCUUUCAUUACACCUUUAUUUGUUAUUUUUAAUUAAAACUUUUUUUUUUAAUUUUUUGUUAAUUUUCCGUUAAAUUAAAUCACAUAUAAAUAAACCAAAAAUAAGGCAUUUUCCUUACAUUGAUUUGAUGCCCUACCCGCCGGUUUAAAACGGACCCCCCAAUAACCCCAAACCCAACAAACCAAUCUGAAAAUAUAUAAAAAGUUCCAAUUUUUGUCUGAAAAAUCUGGUUUCCGCCCACGAUGGACACCGGCGGCAACUCUCUAGUGUCGGGUCCCGACGGAGUGAAGAGGAAGGUGAGCUAUUUCUACGACCCAGAAGUGGGAAAUUACUAUUAUGGGCAGGGACACCCGAUGAAGCCCCACCGGAUUCGGAUGACCAACGCCCUCCUCGCGCACUAUGGCCUCCUCCAGAACAUGCAGGUCCUCAAACCCUACCCGGCCCGAGACCGCGACCUCUACCGCUUUCACGCCGAAACGCAGCAGGACCAGCUGCGGCAGCUCAAGCGGUUCAAUGUCGGCGAGGACUGCCCUGUCUUUGAUGGGUUGUACUCGUUUUGCCAGACCUAUGCUGGUGGGUUGGUCGGCGGCGCUGUGAAGCUCAACCAUGGGAUUUGUGAUAUUUCGAUUAAUUGGGCUGGCGGUUUGCACCAUGCUAAGAAUUGUGAGGCUUCUGGAUUUUGCUAUGUGAAUGACAUUAUUCUUGCAAUUUUGGAACUUCUUAAGUAGCAUGAGGUUGGUAAAUUUGAUUGCAUAGUGUUAAAGUUUUGAACUUUUUGAUGUUUGGAUUGUUGGGUUUGUUAUGUUUUGUAUGAUCUCUGAAUUGGGUUCUCAAAAAUGUUAAUUGCAUAGUUAAGGUCUGAACUUUUUGAUGUUGGGUUUGUAUUAUGUAAUCUCUGAAAUGGGUUACUGAAAUUGUUAAUGUUUUGCCUGAACAGCGCGUUUUGUACAGUGUGGAAAAUUUUAAGCCUGGGUCUGUGGUUCUCCAGUGUGGUGCUGAUUCCUUAUCUGGGGACAGGCUUGGCUGCUUCAAUCUUUCCAUCAAAGGCCACGCUGAGUGUGUUAGAUAUAUGAGAUCCUUCAAUGUCCCGCUCUUGCUUCUAGGUGGCGGUGGCUAUACUAUUCGCAAUGUUGCUCGUUGUUGGUGCUACGAGGUAUACUUCUCAUAUUCUGUUUUACCUUUUAAUGUUUCCAAAGUAUUUCACUUGUGAUAUAAUUGUGCACAUAUAGCAUGAUUUUUAUUGCAAGUUAUAAUCUCUUGCCAGUUGCCAGAUAGCAUGUUAAUGUUUUGUGAUUGCAUAAUACGACUAUAGUGCCUGGCAGAUACAGCUAUCAGAGCAAGUUACUGUUCAUUGUUCUGAUUUGACAUGAUACAGCUAAAGUGCAUGACCUUUUCUUCUGUCUAAAGUCUAAAUUAGUAACUUGUAAUAGACAACUUCUUGUUCUCAAGAUUUCUUAUAACAUAAGCUAACUGGUGCCCACAUUUACUCCAAAGCCACAUUGUUCCUGAGCAGAAGAUCCAAUUUUCUGUCUUUUUCUUCCAUUUAUUUGCUAUCAAGCUUACAUUUUGACAUUCCUUUGUUUUCCACUUCCUUCCUGUAAUUUGAUAGUUCUUGUUCCAUAACUGGUAGAAUACUUGAUGGAAGUCUCAUAGACUUGUUUAAUGAGUAUAGUGAUGAUUCAAAAGGAAUGUUGUGUAUCUAAAUAGCAGCAAAGCUCCAUUCUGACUUUUAUUAAUCCAUGUAUAAAGAAUGUUGCUUGCUAGUUCAAGUCUAUCUAAUUUCAGUUGUUAUUUGUACUCAAUAUUUAACGUUGUUAUAUGGGCUUGUAUUCAAUGUUUUAAUAUUAUUCUUUUGUGAAAUUCUUUCAGGAGAAUGAGGAAUAGGAUGACCCAGACGAGAGGUGGGAUCCAGAUUCUGACAUGGAGGUUGAUGAUGAACGGUACUUCAAUUUAUUCUCCUAAUUUGCUCUCAUUAUCUAGCACUUUCGUCUUUGCAAUUUACUGAUUUAUGGUUUAUACAGUAAGUCUUUACCAAGCAGAGUAAAGAAAGAGAUCGUUGAACCUGAGGUUAAAGAUCCGGUACGUCACAAAUCAUCUCUUGAGCUCAACUUUUUUUUGGGUGUGGAAUCAUUUAGACUAUAAUUCACUAUAUUUGGCUGCCAAUUCAUUUGUCUAUUCUUAAACACUACAACAACAACAACAAAGCCUUUUCCCACUAAGUGGGGUCGGCUAUAUUCUUAAUCACUACUGCAUUAAAUUUCAUGUAUAGUAAAACUGUGCUCAUUGUCUUUGAUAAUGGACUAGUGGUUAUAUUGUUUGUUCAUGGCAAAAAACAGAAACAUAUUGACGAAAGGCUAAAAGAUGAAAGUUACAGGAAAAACAAAAUCUCCUUUGUACACAAGUUAAAUAGUCCCUCUGGAGUUUACUGUUUCAUUCGUUUAGAUGAUGCAAUGAACCAAUUCAAUAUGCACCAUUCUUGACGGCUCCAACCGUAAACUUACUAAAACCUGGAUUUGACUGGAAUCUAUUCAAACCAUCCAAAUCAUAUAUAAAGAGGAAGCUUGUCUCUUCAUAGUGUUUCGUUGCUCCCCUCUGUUAUCAUGUUUCUUGUUUAUUGUUACGUGAAGCCUACAUUGGUGAUUAGUAAUGUUCCCUUUCUUUCUUAUGAGAAUAUAAUGUUUCCAGCUAUGGUAUCUACUGCUGUUUAUGAUUAUAUGUUUAUAUCCUGCACAUAGCAUUACUUUCUUACGAUGUGCUCAUUUCCUUUGCUGUGCCGCAUUUUAAAACUUACAUAAACAUGGAUGAUAACCUAUUUGUUAUGUUUAUUUGCCUCAACAUUAUCUAAUUCUGGUUGUUCUGGCACAUUGGAGAUCCAGAAAGGGACCUCGGAGAAUGCUAGAAGCUCAGGCUAUGAUCCAGCAGUAGAUGAGAUUACAACAGGCGCAAAGGUGAAAUUAACACAUAAAUCCAUUAGAAUCAGGUUCCUCUUUCAUAAGAAAACCCUCCCACUAAUAGUUUUCUCUGUCGACAUUGAUAUUUGCAGGCUUUGGAUAUGGGAUCUGGAUCGGUGGAUGAACCAACUGUGAAAGUUGAACAAGACACUAUGAAUAAGCCUGCGGACCAGAUAUAAAUGUUAUCACGAUCAAAUUUAUUUAGGGUGACUUGAUCACAAGCAAAGUCAUUCAAACUUAACUGUCCAUCGAUUUGUGAAGUUGGUAAUUUAUUUGAGCAGUAGCAUUUCAUGUAUCUUAGGAUUUCUUGUAUUUGUAAGAAUUCAACGCUUGUCUAUACUAUCAUGGAUAAGUACCCAAAUUUGGCCUCUUGUACAUGUUUUUUUUUCUUUCACUGUUUUUGAACUAUUAAAAGUUAAAUAGGAAGGCAUGGAACUGUCAUUAUACUGUUGCAUCCCAAAACCGAAUUCUUUGGUCAGAACCCUAAAACCGUGCUUAUUUCAGGAAUUGUAAGUUCAAUCGGUAGUCCACUGCCCCUGAUUUUGGUGCUCCAAAAUCCAAUUUUCCUCUUUCAUUUGGGAAGAAGAUGGGAUUAGAUAUUUAGGAUGUCGUACGACGUUCAUAGAGGAAGCAUUUAUUACUAGACUCAAACCCGCGUUAUGCUGAAUGAUUGGGAGUAGGUGACCGAUGUUUUUGAAAAGUUUGGAUGUCAGAAAUUAGGAUUAUAAUCAGCUUAACUCAUUUCUUUACUCAAAAGAAUUUUCAUUUUUCAUUAACAAACGAUAACCUAUGCGGUAUUGCAGUAAAACCAGUAACUAUAUUACAAGGCAAAAUGGUAAAAGGAAAACCCCAAUUUGACGGUUUCUCUUCCAAUAACUUUGUAUAUGUUCCUGUGUCCAUCAGUUGUAUUUAGAUUCGUAGUCGUUCAGGCUAAACCAACUCUGAGCCCUUUUCAGCAAUCGAGCAUCGACUGGAAGACUUGCUGAGUGUUCAGUAUCAGAACCAUCUAUACAGAGUGAACUUUCAAUUUCACACAGGUCACUUGCAUUAGAUGUCCUUUCAGCUGAAGCACCACUUGAAGAUAUCCCAUUUGCAGUAGGGGGAAAGCACUUCAGGUUGUUGAAUGCUACUAGUGUUUCCCUGUUUGAGUUUCUUAGUCUUCCCGAUAACUUUUCUCCUCGUCUGCCCAGAUGUAAUCCACGAAGAUAACCCCACAGCUCCAAGUAGCGGCAGCACAAUACGAUAAUCUUGUGUCAAUUCAAAAAGCAACAGACUCCUGCAACACUAGCACCCAUUCCAACCUGAAAAUGGAAUCUCUCCGAUUGUCAACUCCAUCCAGCUUUUGGGAUACCUUCAGAAUUUAGCAGACAAAUACCAGAAAGAGAAAUAAUAUAUUCACCGAGAAAAGUUUGGACUUUUCAAGUCUACCAUGGAGAAUGAUAUUAUGUACACUCCAUGUCAAUUGUCAAAAGACCAUUCGACACUUUAGAACUAAUACAAUUGCAGGAAACACAUUCUACUUCUAAAAAGAAAGGUAUUUGCCCCUGAAGGUAAUGGCUAUAGAUUUCUGGAUAAUAACAUUCAAAUGUGACUUUUGUUCUCAGAAAUUAUCAAAAAUAGGAAGAAAAAAAACAUUAUAUCAAGCAUACUAGUUCAACAUUGCCAGAACUGAUGAAGUAUAGGAUUGGACUGAGAACUGCAGAACGGAUGAAUUUUCCGUAUGCCAUUCCUGUUGCUGCACCAGUAAAAAGUGAUGGAGCAUAGUAGCCUCCAACUAAUCCAGAGGCUCGACACAAUGAGGUUGCACCUAUCUUGACCACUACCAACUGAAGAAACUGAUCAGCUGAGAGGCCUUUCUCAAGUGGUCGAGAUUCCAGCAAAAUGUCAACAUUCUCGAAACCCCGAUAAAGAAUUUCUGGAUAUGUCAAUGCCAUCAGCCCAAUAGCCAAGCCACCCACGAUAGGGAAAAAAAAAAUAUUGGUAGGCCAACGGUCUUGUGAAGAUUGUCAACAAAUACCAACAUGUACGAUGUGCACUAUGAUAAGGUUAAUGAAACCAAGCCACAUAGGACACCCAGCAAUAGAUAUAGCGGAAGCUCUGAAAAUGAUACAAAUACGUCUCAUUAUUAAAACCGCAGCUUUAAACAAUGACUUGAACAUCAACCUCUACAUAUACUAAAGGUAUGCCUGAAAAAUUCAUCCCAGUAGAGUGAAUAAACUAGUGUUGUAACACAAUCAUAUAUGAAAUUAACCAUUUGGAAUAUGCAAUGUAAAUCAACUACCCAAAUAAUGGGAAAAUUCAGAAACCAUAUUCAGUAAAGGCAAAUCACAUUACCAGGAGCAAGUAAAUACUCCGAGAUUACGUACUGAUGCCAUAGUCAAUUGCAGAAAUUAUUUAAAAUAAAGAACCAUUUUUUGUUCACUCGGCACAUAAGUUUUUAUAUAUAUCAUUUUGAAGAAUCAACAGAUAAUAGAUAGUGUACCAGCAGGUGAGCCGAAGUCAUAGUAUGGGACCUUAAAGGCUGGUUCAGAACAAAGGCCAGCUUCUGAAACUACAGAAGCUAUCACAGCACUAAGUAUGACCAUAGAAGUGGUAAUCACAAGUGAAAGGUGUUCGUGGUGGAAUUCUCCGUGGAGGAUAUCUCCUGUCCGACGAGCACACAGCUCCCCGAGAGGUUUGGCGCCAGUUGAUGUUUUUCUGUCGGGCUCCUGCUUUAUUGACGGGCUUGUCGGGCAAGGCUUGUCGGGCAAGGCUGAAAGAGAAGGACAUAGUUAACUUUGAAAGGUGCCUUUGUGGGGUCUUAGAUGUAGGCCUUGAGGCUCACAAUCAAGAUUAACUUAUAUGUAUUCAGGCGUGCCACUACCAUCUUCAGUAUGGCAGAUGUAGAACGGAUGUCUGAGUUAAUUAUAUAUUCGAAAGACUAUAUUUAGUUAUUGACAAGUGCCUUUGUGGGGCCUUAGGUGUAGGCCUUGAGGCUUCCCGUAAAUAACUAAUUUAGUAUUUGAACAUAUAAGGUUCCUUUUAUGUAUUGGGUAGAUCUUAUCACCAUCAUACUUCUGAUUACCUGAACUUAAAGAGCAUCAUGGAUCCAAAUAGAUGCCUUUGUGGGGCCUUAGGUGUGGGCCUUGAGGCUUCCCAUUAGAACCCAUUACAUUCUCAAUGUUCUUGUCCGAAAAGCAAGAUGAAUCCAAAUAGGUGCCUUUGUGGGGCCUUGAGUAGGUCAUGAGGCUUCCUAUUAAAACCCAUCCCGUCCCCGGACGUUAUAUGAUAAUCAUAAUAUCACAAUAAUAAAACUAAGUGACGGGUAAAUUACUUGCGCCCCAAGUAACUUUGGACUUCUUGUUAUCAAAGCUUGUAGAGGAUGGGUUAAGUCCACAUCAGGUUCUUUUUUAUGCCUUGAGGCCAAGGACUUUUAGGAUGAUCAAAUCUUAUGUGCCCGAGGGCUUAGAACUUAGACCUGACUUGAACCGUGGAGACAUAUUCAAUCGAAUCUAAGCCCUAAGAGAAUCCUUUGAUAACCAUAUUGCUAGAAAUAACUUGGAUAUAUCUUGUAAUAUUCAACAUGUUGUUAAGGUAAUGAAUAUACAGACAAAAACAAAGAAGGUUGGGCAAGGUUUAACCUUGUCGGGCAAGGCUGAUCGUCUUGCAAGAGGUUUGAAAGUUUAGGAAAAGGGUAGGGAGAUGAGUUUACAAGAGGAAUCGAUACUACAGCAAGAGUUGAGCAGGGUAGCAGAGCUAUUACAAAAGUGUUAUCCCGAAAUGGAUGAAGGCUUGGGCUGACUACAGCUUUCGUUUUGAAGGCAAAUCUGGCUUUUGAGCAGAGUUUGUGCUUGUAUUUGUUUGUUUGAGUGUCUUUGAUUCUGACCUCUCCUGCUCCUUUUAUAGAUAUCUUGGCUUAGCAUCAUAUAGCAACGAUCCUGCCCGAAUGAAAUUUGAAGGGUAGUGACUCAUCAGCCAUUUUACUUGUACUGCCAUCGAAAAGUACUUUUUGGGCUGGAUAGCUGGCUGGUCUAUACCACUUGGCUUCUAGGUAGGUAAGCAAGUGGUCUGCAUCUAGUCAGAAACGGGCUUCUCCCAUCUUCUGGACUUCGGCUGGGUUCUGACUGGGCCUCUGAGUACCUUCCCCUUUUUAGGCUGCUUCUUGGGCCAACUUUCCCCAAGCCCAAAGUUUAAGUUUUGAUCCAAACAAAAGGGAUGAGGAAUUAGGUGGUGAUGGACUCUACGGGAAAGAAACAACCGGAAACAGCUGCAUUAAACCCUGUCAAAACAGAACAACAAUUACAAUUAGGGCAUACAUGUAUUGAUAAUGACAACAUAGAUAUACACAAAACUGAAUACCAACCAGAAGCAAUUCCAGCAGCCACAUGAGAGAGCCUUCUUUGUGAACUUUUAUCAAACACAUCACCAAUACCCUUGGCUAUAGAAGUUCCAAUCUCAACGCUAGGACCUUGGGACCUAACGAGUUCCCAGUCCCAAGUGUGACACAAGCAGCAAUUGCCUUGACAAAAGGACACGAUGCUGCCUUGAGACCAUCAAAAACCGAAAUAGACAUUCCCAUUUUCACUAAUAAAUUCUCUCCUUUUUCUCCUCCUUGCUCAUUGCCAUUUUUAUCUUGUGAACCAUCCUCAAGAGCAUCUCGAAACAAGUUUAUUAUGGCAACAAUCAAACUGUUAAGGGUAAUAGAGGAUUACCAUAUCACAUUGUAUAGUGCAGUGUGAAAGUUAACGAGAACCAUUCUUCACAUACUCAAUCUCUCUCUACAAAUUCUCUCUCUCUCUCUAAAUCUCUUGAUUACUGCAAGAUAUUAGACUUCUGCACAAACCCCCAUAAGCUGGAACCAGAAUCACCUGCUUCUACGUAUCUCCCAUGUACUCCUUUCUCAGCCACGAAGCUCCCCGUUGCGGCAUCCCACCCCAUAACACAUCACGUAUCUCAUGAACCUUCCCAUUCAUGUCAAAAUCUCAGAAAAAGCUCAAAACUUCAUGUAUAAGCAAGCAAGAAAAAAGCAAAGAAAAAAUGGGUAAUGAGUGACGGAACCUGAGGUUCCGACCCAAAUUGGAAAUGGGGGAGUAGCCCGACCCCUUACAAGUUAAUGUAAGGUUCCUUAACUUUCUGAUGUGGAAGAGUUUUUCAUAACCUCACGUGCCCCUCACAUGUUGCAGGACUCAAGCCAAACAGAUGGACAACACACAUCCUAAUGCAUCUCAUGAACAUUUACAAUUUGUGUAAAAUUUUAGAUAAAAGCUCAAAACUUUGCAAACAAGCAAGCAAGAAAAGGAAAAAUGAUCAAUUGAGUAAUGGAUAAAAAUCGUGCAGUUCCCUUGGCCACGGCCUUGUACUCUGUUUUCAUCUUCCCCUUCUUCUUGUUCUUCUGCUUUUUCAUCGUCAUCGUCAUCGUUUUGUUGUUUUUGUUGCUGGGUUUGUUGGUUUUGAGGGAGGGAGAAAGGAGGUCUGAGAGGCAGAUCUCUGCCAUCUUCAUCUUCCCCUUAUUCUUGUACCCAGCACUGGCAUUUUUGGUGUUGAUUGUUCUUGUUUGGGUGUUUGAUGUGGCAGAGAAUAGGAGGAGGGCUUUUCCCGACGGUGAUGAAGACGGAGGAUGGAGAGGCCAGGGGACAUAAAUGGCGGUGGAAGUGGGCGUUGGGGAAGCGCCGUAUGCAGUCCAGGCCUCCCAUUAGCUGCUACACCAGUUGAGCCAACUGUUCAGUCCAAUCACGACCAGCUAAUGGAUAAAAGCCUGACAAAAUAAUUAAGUAAUAUUCAUAUUAAUAUAAAAUAAUGUUUGUAUUCAUAGCCUACCGUUUACGCACAUGUGAGCAACUGUUCUUAACAUUUGCAAAUAAGAAGGUGCAACUAUUCAUACUAAAAAAAUAGUUAGGAGUACAUAAAUUGACAUGUACUUGAUAAAAUUUGAGAAAUUCGUCUUAGUGAUUGAGACAUUUUUGCUACAACAAAAGAAGCUCCCAUAACGGAGUUGCCCACUUCAAUCUAAAGUGGCCGAUGACAUACGCCAAACUAACAUAUACACUUACAAAAAAUGGAAACUAGACAAGGUUGUAGCUCCAAUUAAGAAUGCAUUACAUUAUGUGUCAAUAUUUACUAAUUACAUCAAUUAUUAAGCCGGUUCUUUGAUUUUGAUUUGAAACAUAGUACUACUUCAAAGAUCCCCAAUGUUUUAUCUAAUAGAACUUUCCAUGCACAUCAUGUAAUGCAAGAAGUUUCAGGGACUAAUUAAAUAGCGAAAAUGAGGUGAUGACAAAAGGGAUCAAUCAAAAUGCAUUCAUUGUACCGACUAAUGAAGUUAUUUAAAAGGUUUAUAAUCAUAUUUUAGAACGCUAUUCAUUGAUCGUCUCCUUAAAGAAAAAGAGGAUAUGAAACCGAUGAAACGUGAACACAACACCAUCGUGGACAUGAGUUGCUUGUUGGCCAUGAUAAGAGUAGUUAAUCUAUAUGGGUGUGUAUAAAUUAUCAAUUAGGUUUCAUUUUUAGAUGGAUUUACAAAACGAUGCCUAAAUAUAUAUAUACGAUUUACAGUCUGAUAAUAUAACAUGUCAAAUAUCCGACAAACAAAUGACUCUGAUUUCUAAAUUGUAGCUUCCUUCUCAAUCUCGCAUUAAUUUGCACCUUUCUAUAUGUGCACGUUUUUGUUUCCCCACUUUGUACAAGUUGACAAAUCGAAAACAUAAACUUGCUAACCAACUCUGAUUUCUAAAGGGAUGUGCUAUCCACACAUCAUUUUUUACUUCUCACACUCCCCUUGUAAUUUAUGUCCGUUGACCUAUCCGAUCUGACGACCGAAAAUUAAUAAGGGGUGCGUGAGAAGUAAAAAUAGGUAUGUGGAUAUCACACCCCUUUCUCAAUUGUAUUUGUUGUGGUAGUACCUUAUGGGCCGGGCUCAUUAGGACCAAUGGCAAUUUUGAAAUAUCACACAAAUACAAUACCAUUUUUGUCACAAAAAAUCAAAAGGAAAAAUCAUCGUUUUUCUACCCCAAACUAUUGGCAUCGCUCACUGUCUCCAUCGUCUUCUGAUUUUCCUCCGAAUCGGAGAAGAAAGGCAACCAAAUCAUGGUCCUUCGAAUUCGUGGUUUUCUGAUUCUUCCCGGCGCUCCUUACGCGUACUGCAGCCUGAUGGUGCGGCGCUCUCGAUUGAUUCCAUGGUCUGAUCUUCCGCGAAUCGCAAUCCGACGGUGGCGAUGGCGUCGAUGCAGAACCAAUCGGCGAAUGUGGAUCUCUUCAAUGCGUAUUUCCUACGGGCCGAUUUGGACCGCGAUGGCCGGAUUAGUGGCAAUGAAACCGUCGCUCUCUUCCAGGGCUCUGGUCUCCCAAACAGGUCCUUGAGCAGGUACUCUCUCAAUAUAUAUAUAUAUAUGUAUGUAUGUAUGUAUGCUUGUGUAUAUAUGUAUAAUUGGAUGUGUGUGUAUGAUUAUAUUUGUGUAAUUGUAGUGGUUGGUCGGGAUUUGAUGCUGGUGGAACUGUGUUCCGAAUCGGAUUGAUUUUGAAUUUGUAGUCUAAUUGUAGUUGAAGUGGUAAAUGUGAGCUCGGGAUGUCUUAAUUCUCUUAUCUUAGCUGAGAUAUUUAUUUCGUGUUAGUAUAACUGCGGAAUUGAUGUUCAAAUGGUAGAAAAUAAGUAGAUGAAGAAUUUAUACUACUGUUAGUGAGGUUGAGAGAGUUAUGUUAUCAGGUCAUUAAUAUACCUUCUGGUGUAUCCGUUCAACCUGAGGUGGUAAGCAGACUUUAGAAAUGUGUUAUAUGACCCAAGGAUUGAUCGAGGAUUGUUUAUUACAUUAGAAUUGUGCAGUAGUGAAAAUGUUCUUGGGUCAUGAUCAUAUCGACAAAUAGGUUAUUGAAGCUGUAUGCUUGUUUUGCUGAAGGAAUUUCCGUAUAAAAUGAUAACCAGGGGCAUAUUAUGUUAAAUAUUGAUUAUAUGAAUGCACUUUCUCAUUAGCUUGAAUUGCUGAACAUAACAGGCUCAAUCAAGCAUAUUUUUCUGCGAGAUGCUUUGCUGCUGGAUGUUCAUUCUUUGCAUGAUGUGUUCGUAUUUUGAUGUAAAAACUUACACAUGCCAUAGAUAUUUUGUAGGUAUAAAUUUUUAUUUGUGAUUGGGAGUAAUCUUUUGCUGGCCAAUUGACAUACAAACAUCCAUAAAUAUAUACUACUAAAUUGAGUCAUGUCUAAAUGUGCAGUCUAGAUUGAUAGAAUGACUACCCAUCAUGCCACAUUAUCUUUGAUGGAGCGGUUUAGGGAGGGAAGCCCUCUUCCAGCCGUGCUACCAAGCAAUGUUAUGUUUGAUUUAUCCAAUAUUUUUCAACCUGCAAAUAAUUACUCCAAUGCAGGCAAUGUAGCCUGGAGACCUGCUUCUGGUAUUCAUCCAUAAAACAAAUCACUUUUAUAUUUUGAAACAUGUCUUUCUUUGAUGGAGAAUAGUUUCUUAUUUUUCACUUUAAAAGGCUUUCAACAACAGCAACUGAUGCCUGGUCUUGGUGCUCGGCACAUGGCACCCCCAGCUGGAGGAAGGCCACCGAAGACAGUUGCUCCUUCUCAUGCUGAGGAAAAGCAGCAGGCCAAUUAGCGGAAACCCAGAGUACCAGAAUUGGAGAAACAUCUUGUAGAUCAACUGAGUACAGAGGAGGU
rnacentral:lncRNA from 1 species